rnacentral:lncRNA from 1 species
CAAUGAUAAGUUUGACUUGUUCUAUGUUAAAUUCCUUUUGAAUGUUGAUUUUAAAAGUGGUUAUUGUCAAUUUAAAAUUUACAGCUGGUGAGUGAGAUUGGUAUUGAUUUUUGCAUUUAUUAUGUAUAUUACAUCCAUAAAGAUGAUGAACUAACAAUUGAAGUUUUAUAUAAAAAAUGUGUUCUCCUUUGUUUUGGUGAUAGAUUUGCCUACAGUGAUGCACAACAAGAAAUAUUUUACUAGAAAGAGCUAUUGAGAGUAAUAUAAUGCAAUAACCUAUGUUUACAUAUGGACUGGAAGCUUUGUUCUUUAUGAAUUUGUAAUCAGCCCAAGUGUGAAAAAAGUUGAGGAAGAAAAUUUAAAACUACCCAAGAAAGGUCUAUAGUAAAGACUAUCAGCAAAGUGCAUAAUUUUGCAUGGAUUGGCCUCUUUUGACUGCAUCUUACUAAAAAAGUUCAAUUCCAUUAACACAUUUAUUCUUGAGAUUAAGAAGGAAGAAAAAUUAAGUUAGGAAGAAAAAGUAAAUACAAGUUUCUUAUCUUAUUUAAGAGAACCUAUGGUCAACCCUUGUAUUAACCAUUUCAAAUUCUUAGAAGUUAUCUAAGAUAAAGUGCGGUGUAACAAUAGUGAGAGUAAUAUCUAUAUUACCUCAAGAGGGUCAUCAUGUGCUUUUCUAUGGGGAAAGACAGACUAAUUUUAGAAUAAAGUGGACCUAUUUUCAAAUAGAAUGUUAUGAAGUAGUUGGACUGAAAAUUUUUUGACCACUUUGCCAUUCAAUAAAAAGUUGUAUCAUUCACCAAUGUGGUGAUUAGAUGUGUCAAAAGAAAAAAAAUGGAGUUGAAGUCACUAACUUAUUUUUCAAGUAAAUGAUUUUUUUUGCCUGAUUCUACAAUAUCUCCUCCCUAAUUCAGAUAUAAUUUUUUUUAUAGCAUUUCAAGUUUACUCUUUGCAAGUGACUUAAUUCAUAGUUAAAAUUGAGUGGUUUAAAUCAGUCUCAAACUAAGGUGAAAAAUAUGAUUCCCAUUAUUUUGAUUAAUUCCAAUUUAGUAGAUAAACCAAGGCAAUGAACCAGCCCUUUGCUCAAGCAAAAUUUUUCCUCGGGGUUUGAUAGCAUAACAAAUCAUAUCAAAAUAUUUCAUGAAAUUUCAAAGAAGAAAUUUUAAUUGAAUUUCAAUAAGUAUUUGACCACAACUAAGACAAGACAAAAAAAAUAUUUUGAAAUAGAUGACUUUACUAUCAUAUGCUUUAGGAGAGAUAUUUCAAGUGAUAGUUAUGAGAAAUUGACGUAAUAAUAAUGUAGAAGAUAAUAGGUUUUUAGGCUUGAAUCUACAAAGCUAAAAAAUGGAAGAAGAAACCUAUGUUUGAAUAUAUUGAUUUAGAGUUUAACCCUUGAAUCCAAAAUAGGAUACCUAAAUCCACAAGGAAAAGCGGAGAGCUCUCACUAAGAGAAAAACUUCAUACUUCAAAAGGUUGUGCCUCUCAAGUUAUAAUAAUGGCCUUUGUAUUGGCUAAAAAGGAGGUGAAAACCUCUAAAAAGUAAGAUCAUGAACAAAUCAUGAGGAAAAACUAUGAUUAGCCUAAAAUGACUUAAAACAAAUUAUAACAACAUUUAAGGCUGAAGCUUAAAGUAUAUUCUAGAAGAAAUGAAGACAUAAAUUAACUUCUAGAGGGGAAGGGAUAUAAGGUAAAUAACAUACUCUGACUUCAAAUGACCUAAAACAAACUCUAACAUCAUUUAAAGUUGUGGCUUAAAAUAUAUAUGAAAGAAUAGAUAUAUAAAAUAUCUUCUAGAAGAGAAGAGACAUAAAAUAAGGAAUAAAAAUUAAUUUUUCAGACCCCUUUCUCACUUGUGACUAUUGGGCCUUUUUUCAACACUUUCCCCCCUAAAUUAGUAGUUGGGUCUCUUAUUUCUGUCUUGGUUACAUUACUUGGGCUCUCUUAUUAUGGGCUACAUUAGAAGUUGAAGCCAAAGAUCUUCAAUAGAGUUUAUAUUAUUACUUAUAACUAGAAACGGCCAUCAUAUAUAUGAUCCUUAUUGUGCCAAGUCUUAAUAACUAUUAUAAUUAGUAAGAUGACGACUAUAUGGUGUCAAACAAGGGAGACUGAUGUUUGUGACCUAAGUGAUCUAAAAGGUUACAAGGCCUAAAACGAAUUCAAAUUCCACAAUUCAAGAAUUUUGGUUUAAAAGCUGCAUGGAUAUCAUGUCAAAUGAAUGGAAACCUUAAGAUGUUUAGAUAAAUCUUGAACUUCUAUACUAUGAUCCAUGGCUGAAUCUGAAUAUGUAGGCAGCCUUCCACUUUUGGUGCAUGGGAAGGAUUAUGAAGCAAUCGUAAAAGGAAUCAAGAUGAAGAAUAAGAUUCAUAGAACCAGGUUCAGCAACAUGACUCAUUAUCUCACCAAUGUUCAGAUGCAGCAGAUGCAUUAAAGCUCCCUACCUCCCCGCUGGGAGGCAUGAUGAUCGAGCCCCUGACAAUCACAAUAUUCAACUUGAGAGUUAUCAUGAUGGGUGUUUUCAUAUGAUUCCAUUGUGGGGCUCAGACCACAAAUUAGUUUUCAUCAUUAGGACCUGACUUUCCCCAUUUUCGUCUUAUAGUUCAAUCAUGUCGGUGACCACAACAGUCACCCUAUAUAUCCUUCCUUUGAUUCAUGUUUCUCUAAGCUAGGUUGAAUUAUAUUUCCAAAUAAUAUUCUCAAAGUAGACUCCUUCAGGCAUUCUAUGCGACCACCUGUUCAUAUGCAUAGCUGAACUCUCUUGGAAAGAUUUUUUGCACUCUAAAGACAACACUGUGUUCGACAGUUAUAGUACGAGAAGCUUGUAGUUGCCGCAGCAUCAGGUAGGAAAAUAUAGAAGGGGCAGAGAUGGGGAGAGACGAACAAAACAUGCAAGUUCUCAGAAACGAAGCCUUUAUUGAAGUUCUCCAUUCUGCACAACCAAGUACCACGAGCGCUUACACAUUACAUGAACGUCAUGAGCAGAUAAAUUUUAUAUACAAACUGUGCCUCCGGGAUCCCAAGAUGCUGGGCACCUCGUACAAGACCCAAUACCCCCAUUCGUCAAAAUGGAAACGUGAUAAAAGCUUGUGAUCCAGCCACGUCUACAAAUGGCAAGGUGGGCGAAGGAACCAGAAGAAAGAGAGAAACAAACGAAAACCGGCUACACAAGAACCCCUCCAUCCCGCCGAUCUACCCACCAAUGGAAGAGCGGAGCCAGAUGGAAAGGAGAAAUGGGAACUCGAGAGGGUGAUGGGUAAAUUGCGGAAAAAGAGCUGGAGCUGCAGGACGACUGUCGUCGGCAGGCACAUCCGUUGCUCGACCACAAGGGUGGAUCGAGACCGCAGUUCUCCCCCAUCAACGGAGGGCAUUCACGAAGCCUAACAGCGAAUCCAGGUCUCUCUUCUCGGAGGGAUAUUUGACGGGCUUCGCCGUGUGCUUGGGGAAAAAGAGGAUCGUGGGGAAGCUACCCAGCUGCAGUUCCCGAUCCGCGAACUGCUUCUGGUCACCGUCCGCCCGGAAUUUGGCCACCUUGAUGCCUGAACCAGCGAGCUUCUGCGCCAGCUCCACGUAAGAGCCCUCCAUUUCCUGAUCCACGACAAGGGAGCAGAUAUCGAUUAAGAAUCUCGGCAGAAAAACGGGAGCUCGGAUGACAAGGAUGGAAGGCGCUUACUUGGCAGAAGCCGCACCAGGGCGCGUACAGCACAACAAUCCAUGGCUCCUUCCUUCCCCCAAUCUUGAGCAGGUUCUCUAUCCCCGGCCUGCUGAGGUUCACAAUGCCCGGCGCAUCGAAGAGAUCUGCGGCUGCCGGACCGGCCCCGUUGCCGGUCUUGGGCGCGGCCUCAUCCUCCCGCACGUUGCCCUUGUGGAGACCACACUCCUUCGACUUGGCAUCCUCCCACCACCAUCUCCCUUCCCUCUCGUGCUGCCAGGGAAGCACGGGCCUGGUGCAGGGUUCACAGCCGAUGGACACGUACCCCUGGAGUGCCCCCACAAAGCCGCAGAAACAAAAGCACAUCGAUCAACAGGAAGCUAGUAGCUAUCGUACAGGCCCAGAAUUUUUCUAGUGUAAGAAGCAACGAGAGCGAUCUGAAGCAUGGUCAUGUACUGCAAUCAGACCGAUCACUUCGUCUCUACCACUAUCGGAUUAUAAUAAUCGAGGUCACUUUGACUUGAAACCGCCCUGCAUCCAUGCCGCCGAACCUGACGAAACGCUGCGUGAAGAUGGAUUACCUGCGAGUGGAGAGAGUUGACUGGAACAUUCAUGAUCCUUAGUAGACUCCAAAUAUCUUCGCCCUGGACGUUGGCCACCGGAUUCCACUUGAUCAAACUCCCAGGCCCGCCGUCCACUCCUUCAAAGGAGGGGUCGACCUGCAUGCCCACAAGAGAAAUCCUCUCUUCUUUCAUCCCAGGUAGCGCCAACAGAACUGAGCAAGUCCGAGAGGGUUUCAGCAUUACCUGAACGACGGGUAUGCUGGCUCUGGUGCCGGGAGACUGAUCCUUCCUCUGGCCCGUGAUCCAGGCCCGGAGGCCCUUGAGAGCCUUCCUCAGGGGCCUCACCUUCCUCACUCGGCAGCAUUCUUGGUGGCCGUCCUCGUAGAAGGAGAACAGGCCCUUGUUUCUCACGAGGCCCUGGACUUCCACUGCUUCAGGGAACACGUACUCUAUGCGGAUGUUGUAGUGCUUCUCCACGGCGUCGAAGAACUGGUACGUCUCCGGGUUCAACCGCCCUGUGUCGAGGCUGAACACCCGAAAGGGCCGCCCCGUUAACCGGGCGUACUCGAUCAGCGCCACAUCCUCUGCGCCGCUGAAAACCGUGAACAACCCCCAGUCAGUCCUACUGAAGAUCCCACUUCCGGACUCUGAUUUCGAGACCCCUUCUUUCACCCAGCUCUUCCAUCUCUUCGCUAUUUUUAUUAAAUCUUCUGCACUAAAAAUCGUUCAUGGCACACUUACCCAAAUGAUUUGCCGGUUAGAUCUAUUCGAUAAGUAUCAUUAAUGUCGAAAUAUAAACUGUUCCAUCGUGCGCCAGUUCUGUAAUCUUCGCUACCUGAAUGCGAUGGCGAUGUCGUUUCCAAACAAAUCCAGCGCCUUGUCGACGAUCACCAGCGGGGAGGCCGCCUCCAGCUCCUCGGCGAGCUUCUCGAAAUCCACCCCCUCCAGCGUUGUCGUCGCUUUCUCCGCGAAUCCCGCCGCCUCUCCGGCAACCGACGAAGAGAGGGCGGCCCGCGGGGCCACCGAGUCGCCCCUUCUCCUCGGCCCCACGCCUCGCAUCAAUCGAAACAGUGGCCUUCUCCGGCCGGCGAUCAUCGCGGAAGCCUCUGCCGGCCUCCCGGAUCCGAUCCGAGCCCCUGCUAUGGCGAGUAGAAGAAGACGAUAUAGGUCAAAGAUCCCAGAAAGAUUCUCAGGAAAUCUAAUAUUUCGAUCCACAGAAAAGUAUCACAAAUGAGUGGAGGAUGUUGGGUGCCCUACCCCUGAGCUCGUGCGGCACGGAGGAUUGGGAUGAAGAGAGGGAACCCGAAAUAGAAGCAGCCACCGUCGCCAUGGCGGGGGAACAGACUGCUUCCACGCCCCGAGUUCUCUCUUCUUCGCCUCGUCUGCCCGCCCCACAGUCCCUUCUCCCCCACUGCUCUGCUCGCUACUCCCCCCCACUUGCCCUAGAAUUCCUGGGGACAAGAAAAAUGGCCGCGGCGCGAAUUUAAAGCCGGGUAAGUUCGUCGAACCUGGACGCAAUAUCUUCCACCUCAUACAAGGUCAACUCUAUCGCGUGGGCAGCGGAACCUCCUCGAGUCGUCGCCGUACCGGGCUGUCGUCACACACGUCGUCAUCCCACUCCAUUAUCGCAAACGGCAAUCCAACUAGUACAAUAAAUUAUUUAUAUUAAACAUUUUUAACGAAGCAUCGCAUCCAUAUUAGCAGAUCAUUUACUACUAAAUAUAGUUCCAUCUCUCCGUACCAUUUAACCUCCAAGAACAUAAACCCUCGACGCUUGUUGGCAUCAGUGCAUGAGAGAGGUGCAUGGCGACACUAAAAGACAGCUACAAAUAGCUGGAUUUUGUUUCUGAAACGCUUGGAUAGCCACAACAACGGGACAAUUUUCCAGCUAUAGCAUCCGAAUUCAACACCCUAUAGGAGUGGCCUCCUUCCUAAUGGGUUUGGUGGGUCCCUCAGCUGUAUGGAUAAUCCUUACUAAAAUUGUCAUUCCGUACCACGCCUUCUGCUUGGGAUGGGGAUAUAGUGGUGCGUUGAAUUUGGACACAAUCUAAUUGCCCACCGAAGUGGCGUGUUCUCGGUUAGUCAACCAUGUAAAGAGGAGGUGAAUAUUGUUCUACCCAUCGCUGUGCACAAUGUUGUCAUUAGUUUGGAACUCUGAAUUAAUUAAAUCAAGUUAACUUUUUAGCAAAUAAAUGUUGUACUACACUUGCACAAUAAAUAGCAUCUAAUUCAUCUACAGUGAAAUAUAUCCCAUCAGAUAUUUCGGGAAUAGAAUUUAGCUACUUGGCUUCAAUUAUGCCACUUUUGGAGGUCAAGAGGGCGGCAACAAGUGCAACGACUUCAGGAGCCAAAACAGAGUUUGUGGAGUCGGUCGUACGCAUCCGUACGCCGAUAUAUCUUCUGGAGGAAGCGUGCGAAGUGUUUAGGAUGUACGAUCCCACGCUCGGGGAAAGAUCUCAGCCGCUCGUGAGGCCGUACUCCCUGACCUGUCCUUUUGUUUAAUAUAAGAAAUUAAAAUUCACGUAUCUCUCUCUCUCUCUCUCUUCAUUUAUAUCUAUAUGUAUAUAUAUAUAUAUAUAUCUAUCUGCCAAGAUAUAUGCAGACAAUCAUCAUCCCAGACCACAUGGUGACAAAGCCCAGAUACCACGAACCCCGAUUAACAGGAAGAAAAUAUCUGCCCAAAAUUUCCAUCCGCAGUCAUUCGUGUGCGCCAGAUAUCGUGUCGCUGGAACAGGCUUUUGUUUACCCAAACUGCCUGCGUCCAUCCCAGCGUGGCCGGGUGUUCAGCAAAAUGGAUCAGCAACGUCCUCUUCAUCCCCAGGACGAGAUCAAGGUCUGCGCAAAAGAUGGGGAGGUGCUCUUGGUCAGGCACUCUGAAUCGUCAGCAACAGCCCGUAAUGAUCACUGGGCAAGACGGGGAGCACCAGCGUCUUCAUCUCCUUCCUGGCUCUCUUCUCCUUCAAGUAAGAAAGACCGGGUAUCGGCUCGAGCCCGAUCCUGUCGACGCCGACGAUCUUGAAGUCGGGCAAGUUGCAGAUGAAGCGAUCCAGCCGUCUCUGGAGCGCCCGAUUCCCCGAUAGCAUGGGAUUAGCCUUGGUGUCGUAGGUCCAGCCAUCCUCCUCCGGCCUCAGCUCCGACCAGGCGUCGGCCCAGCCCGCCGCCGCCGGGGCCGGGAAGGCACCGUCGAGCUUGUCGUCCCAGUUCAUAUCGCCGCCAAAGAUGACAUUCCGUGCUGUGCCCAGCACCUGAAUGGAGGCUUCUGCCUGGGCCACCCUCUCCUUGCUGUACAUCUGGUCCCACUUGGGAGGCCCCGGGCAGGGGCUCUCGAGAUGGCUUGUGGCGACGACCAGGGUCUUGCCGGCUCCAGCGUCGAUAUCGGCGAUGCAGAGCUCUCGCCCCAUUAUGGAGUUGCUGAAUGGCUGGCAUCUGAAUGCUUUCACCGGCAGUCUGCUCAUCUGAGAGAGAAACCAGAGCCAUGAGAGGACACCCGGGAGAAGAUUUGGGGGUCGCAGAUCUUUGAAGGGGAUUUGAUAUUCCAACAAAAUGGGCAGAAAUUCAAGCUAUAAAAACACCAUUUUUCUCUCUUCCUUCUUUCCUUCCGAGCUGACAUUAUUUGUGUGAGUUCCUAAUGAGCCUGAUAAGCGUGAAAAUAACGGCCUACAAGAUCUUUAAUCAGGCUGAUCUACGCCGGAUUUUGAUCAGAGAAGCCUGGUUGGAAGGCAUGUAGAGUAAAUAAUAUCAUCGGCAAGAACAGAUAGGCGGGUGCAUUAAAUUGCCCUGCAUUUGGGAAAAAUCUAAACCAAGGAACUAGUAGAAAUCUGCUGAUGAAAAAAAACUUGGUCCGUACCAGGCCAUGGCUCAGGCAUUGAAAGCUUGCCAAUGAUACAGAGAGUUAGCGUAUAGCAAGGAACACCAAAGGGAUGUCGAUGAUAUUACAGGCCGCAAGGAAUACAGAAAAAACCCCGCAUUAUAAUCCGUGAAAUACGCAGAAAAACAGGGGGAGCAGAAGAGGAUUCUAAUUUUUUUAACCUGCAUGCAAAAAUAUGCUCUCUCUGCGGCCAUCUCCCGAGGAACAGAACACUCGUAACUCUUCCACCAACUGGACGCCUGGAAAAUCCUGUAGAUGUUGGGGGUGACCUCCUGCAGAACGAAGGCUAUGAUAGCGGUUCGUUGUGAAGGAAUUAUCUGGCAAUAAUUACGGGGAGAAGAAUGGGACCUGGAGACAGAUUAUGUCAGGAGAAUGCUGCUGAAUGAGGCCUCCGAGGGCAUUCAUUCUCUUCUCCAGUUCCAGGUCUUCACGAAACCAGACAUUAUAGCUCAAGACUUUAAUCGUAUUGGGUGCUGACCUUGACCCAAGCUCCGCGUCCCCUGUAUCACCUGCCAAGAUUACACCACAAAUGCUCGAGAUAAUUGUAUGAUUCAGGAAAAAAUAAUGCGCCAAAACUAUUGGAACCCAGAAUGCAGAAAGAGUUCAGCGGGAUUGCUUGAUCCAUCUUUUUCUUCCUUUUUUUUUUUUACGCUGUUCUUCAUUCAUUAUCCGUAGCCGUCAAAUAUUCUCUGACAUGAUUUCAAAGACAUGAGAAAUGACCGACGAUUCCUACCAACAUCCUCGUCACAGGAUUCGUUUCCGAAGGGAGAUUCAGGCAAGUUCUUCGUCGGAUGGGCUUCCCGAUCUCUUAGAUGUUGCACCCUCCAACGCAAACGACUAAGAUAGAUAUCAUGUUCAGGUCAGAGAAUGGGUCUCCUUAGUCAGAGGCAUUCCGGGUGAAGAACCAGGGAAAAGUGGGGGUGGGGGUGGGGAAUGCGAGCAAGGACCUCCGGGCUCCUGCCCUAAUCGCUAACCCUAGUCUUCUUCGGCGCCUUGGAGCGGGAGUUCGAAACGGAAAACCCAUUCUCGUGAACGUCAGAUGGAAGGUACAUACAUCAUUGGUAACGCCGAAGAAAGAGGAAAGGAAGAUAGAACACGCACACAAAACGAAUGGCGCACCAACUGGGAUGGAGGCGGCUUCCUUCCUUGCGAGCUUCUCUCGCGAGCGGUGGUCCUCCACGGAGGUGCAGGCCUCGGCGUCAAGAUCACGCUUAUCGCCGCAGCGGUGGAGCCGGGAGAUGGAGCUGACUGAGGGGCCCACCGGAGGAUUUGCAUCAGGGCCAGAGGAGGGUUCCUCCGCCAAGGCGACGCCGGCAUCAGCGAGGAUGGUGGAGGCGAGGGCCGGCCUGGCCCCGCACACCUCGCAGGAGUGGCGUUCCGCCCGAUUGUCGAAGGUGCAGGCCCUGCAGGACCACCUCGGCGGAGAAGAGGACGAGACUGCAGCGGCCGAUGGGGAAGAAGGGGAGAGGCAGACUUGACAGGAGAACAGCCGAGACGGGGGAUUGAGAAACGUGCAACGCGAGCAGGGCCACGGGGAGGAGGAAGGGGCGGCGCCGGCCAUGGAAACUCUACUCCUCUUCCCCGGCCCUAAAUGGAUCUCCCGGCGAAGAAGAGCGCCAGCCCAGAGACCGGCGCGUCGCUCUAUUUGGAGAAAGAAUUUAGCUUUUACAAUCUCCUGGAUUUCUCGAAUUAUCGGGAAACCAUGAGGAAUCCAGAUUUCAUCGGACCCAUGUCCGCAAGCCUUCCGUCUCCUGAUUCCUGAACCACGACGAAGAAAACGUGCCCUAAAAAGCUUUCAAACACAGUUCUUGCCGCCUUCCGGCCUCGGUCAGUGCGACAGGAGAGAGGACGGGCCCUCUCGGGCUCUUCAUCUCUGGUUCUCAAGUCCGCCAAGUCCAUUGGCGACGACGAUCCAGCGAGAGAGAGAGGAGAGAGAGAGAGAGAGAGAGAGAGAACGAAAUAAUUGGGCCUUAUGGGCUCUGAUGGACGCUUCAGCGAACAACAUCUGAUUCUAGAGACGUACGGGCCCUUUGCGUUCCUGCGUAUUUUUCUCGAACCCUACCACAAAAGGGUGAUGGGACGCUGCCUCUACUACUACAAGGGGGCGCGUGCCAAGAGACGUCCUAUAAACAUUGCGUGCUGCUAACCGAGCAGAGGGUUGUAAGAUAACAUUCUCACGCCUGAAAAGAAGAGGAUCCUGGACAUGGGAGCAUUCUCCGAACCAAGAUAAAUCUAGCUUCUCUCUCUCUCUUCUCUCUCUCUCUCGCUCUCUCUCUCUCUCUCUCAUGUGUUUAGGAUUGGUCGUCUGCCGUGCAGCGGAGGUGAAAGGACAACGCUUGUCUUCCCCUACAAACGUUCCCUAAUUGGUAACACAGGCAAAGGGCUGAUCUUUGAAUAGAAAAAAGGGAGGCAAACUUCACUGCGGGACGCGCAGGUCCGUGGAGCCCUGAUAACGUAGCUCACAGGAUGGUAUCGCCUACAUCUUCGCGAGAAACUUACCUGCAGACGGUGGAAGCGCGUCCGAGCUGAUCCUGGAUCUACAAGGGUAGUAGUUUCAGAGCAUUUCCUCCCCGCCACCGGUCCCCUCCGACACAUCUACUCUCCUUUGUCCGCAUCUUGAAGUCAAGUCGUCACUGGAGGAGCCCAAUCUUUUCGCCAAAUUCAGGUCCCCCGUCAGCAGAAUAAGAUAGUCGCUUCCUCUCAUCUCUGCAAGUCAAUGCACCGCGUGGAAAGUUGCUUUCCCAGAACGGGUUGAGCACUUAGAAUAUGCGCAAGGUUCUCUCCCUCUCACCCGUCUACUGGAUGUGAACCUCGUUGAUCUCCAGACACGCCGAUCUGCCGUCGAGAUUGGGUCCAUAUUUCCUUGUAUGAUGAUGCUAUUUGGAAAUUGAAAGCCUUCCAAAGCUCUCACCAGCUUGCCGGGACUUUUGUGCGAACCUUGACUUACAAAACUUGAAAGGCCGAGGUAGGAAUCUCCAUACGACCAUAAGAUGAAAACUCGAUGAAAAUGCAACAAAAAAACGAGUACGAAUGCAGCGUUCCAACAACAAGUGUUGCGUGGUCAGAGGGGAGGUGAUGGUGACGGCGAGGAUGGCGUCUACUACCACGCUAAAUCCAUUUCUAAACCUCCGACUCUUGACUGAAGAAAGUGGACACCAAAAUUUUGAUUGUUUGCGUGUGACUGAGUGAUAUGUGUAUAUAUAUAUAUAUAUAUAUACACAUCAUAUCUGUAUAGAUUUAGAUAGAUAGACAGAGACGGGAGAGAGAGAGCGAGGGAGAGAGAGNNNNNNNNNNNNNNNNNNNNGAGAGAGAGAGAGAUGAGGGCAAAACGUAGAAAGGGAGAUUUGAGGUUGGAAAUUGCCAGUUCUAAUAAUUAAAUGAGAUGGAUUCAGGAACAAACUGAAUAUCCCAUGUAAGACUUUUCUUUUCACGCCAAGUGAGGUCAAAAUCGCAGCAGGCCAUACAACUUCCGUGAAACCCCCCCUGCCUCUAGGGUGUUUUCUCACUGCACGGAUGGAGCGACCAUCCCUUCUGUCGAAAUGGAUCACCAAAUUCGUUUGACAGAGAGAAAGAGAGAGUGGAGCGUGUUAAGUGCAUUAUUAUGAUGCUAAAUAUCGAACCUGUUAAACGCAUUAUUAUUAUAUUUGACUUAUGAUUUCUUGCAAGGAACAUAUACUUUUGUGUAAAUUGGGAAGUUAUCCCUUGUACAGGAUACCAUGAGAGAGUUUCGUCAUUUCAACAUACAAUAAGCCAGAAUUAGCAGUUCACGGAAAGCCUCGCCGAACAAGUCAAACACCUCAACUCGGCGAGCGGUUUUCUUGGGCAUAUUUAAGUUUACGACUCAUGAAACCGUUUUUAUUUCCAGUUGGAUCCUCCGUCCCUCACGAUACUUCUGGUCUAUACUUCUAAAUGUCAAGGGUUAGGCAGAAAGGGGGAUAUUUCUCGGCGAUGUUUACGUUUAGUGGUCUUCUACUGUAGAAUAUUCUUCGGUAAGAAAUAACAAGUCAACGUUAGCACCCAAUUCACUGGUCACAGGCUCGCUGGUUCUUAAGUUGGACUUUCAAUUCCUUGCUGAAUACCAACCAAAGAAGUUUUCCACAAAGUCCCAAGUGUGAAUGAAAAGCAGUUCGAAGAUCGACUGACCAACAUGCUCGCCUCCGUUAAAAGUCUCAACAGCUAGCCCGGUAUCGUGGUAUGCAGUCUGACGACUUGACUUCUACAAUUUAGACGUAAAAGGCUUAGGUACGACGGACGAUCCCCUACUUCUCAGGUCGUUGACCAAAAUUAUAAAAAAUCAACAGGAAGCUUCCUCUAUGCUUCCUCCGUGACCACCAGUUCCCUUCUUCUGACGACACUGAGCGGCAAGGGGUCCCCUGUGCUGAGGAAUGCCCUUAGAGCAUUAAAUGCCUUGACUGUCCCCGUAAACGAUAAAGAGGGAGUGCCACUUGAAUCCCUGACUUCAUGCGAUAAGGAGGCUCGAGUGGCGUAGCGAGGGAGAGCGAGAAGUAUUUCUCUAAGAGAAAGUCAAUCAAUCCACUGGAUAUAAGAUACAAAGAGACGACUAAUGAAGCCGACGCCCUUGUCCUCUUCUCUUAGAAGACUGGGAUUUCUAACUGCUGCAAGUAACUGCACUACGAAGAGGAGAGGAAAUUUCCAUGAUAGAGACCCUCAAUAAUAUAAAGCCAUUGAUCACCAAGAAAACCUUCAUUCAACCGGCCACCAACAGACCUUCAUUCAAGCGCCUGCUUCUCUUCCUUGCUCAGCACUCACUGGAGGCGGAGGUCCAUAGCCCUUCAUGGCGGAUAGAAGACUCUCGCCGGUUCUCUUCUCGAUCUUCUUCCUCGGCCUUUGUCUCUCCCAUGGUCGCCAGGGAAACUUGGCGGCGGCUGGGAGGACGCCGGUGUCUGUCCCUGUGGGCGUCGUGCUCGAUUUUGAGACUUUGUUCGGUAAGAUGAGCAAUACGAGCAUUUCCCUGGCGUUGGAGGAUUUCUACUCCAUUCACACCAACUACACAACGCGGCUCCGCUUCCACAUGAGGGAUUCGAAAAGAGACGUCGUCGGAGCAGCUUCUGCAGGUACGCCACAAUGCCAUAACUUGACGGUGGGGGACUCGAUUUUCCGCAGUUUUUUCAGAGGAAAUGAGGCGGAACUGAAUCGUACAAAAAUUAAGUCUAGACUGUCGUCUAGGAAAACCAGGUUUUCGCGAAGACCACAAUAUUCCAAGCUCAUCCGGGAGGCCAGAACCCGGGCACCAGGUCCAAUGUUUUGUCUUCCUGUCAUGCAAAGCUGUGCGGAGGUGACUGUGAGAGGUUUAAAGGGUUCGGGGUGGAGCCAGGGAGCGAGCGAGAGAGAGAGAGAGAGAGAGAGAGUAGAUUGAAGGAGGGAGAGGAAGGAAGAGAAAGGGGAGAGAGUGUUGAUAAAAGUUUUUACACACAACCCUAUAGUCAAGACUGAAAUAAAUCUGCGUCCAUGAUUCAGGCUUCCAGUAAACUCCUCAGGGAGUUCUUAAAUCUUUCCAAAAGUUUUCCUCCGGAUCGGAUGAGUCCCCCUAAAAGUUUUUCCCAGAGAAUCUCAGAGUUCUUAAGGUCAGGGACCGUGUGGACUUCGAACAAGACGUUCUUGAUUCCCGUUCGGAUAAUAAUUAAAUCAUCAGAACCAAUGUCACAUCAGGACCUGUUUUAUAUUUCUGCACGUCACGACUGUGACAGACAUUUUUUUUUAUUUAGCAAUUGCACUAUCCUAUUUCGUGGUGUAGUAUCUUAUGAGCAGGCGGACCACUUGAUCCCUUGGCAGUAUAAUUCAAAUCGUUGAAAUUCGAUAGGUUUCACACAGCCACAUGAAUAAUAUAUGGAAGCCUCCAUAUUAUCCGGUAGUCCAAAGUCAUUGACAUUUGGGUUUCGUUCACACAGACGGCAGCUCCGCAGAAUAAAUGUUAUUCAUGAACUUAUACUAGCCUGGUCACUCUGAUGUGACUAUCUUUUACAAGUAUUUUCCUCGCAGAUGUUUGUUUUCCCCCAUUAAACUUUUAUCCACAACCAUUUACGUUUUAUUGCGCAAAUGAGGAAAGUUCGUUCUUCGUAAAGCUCUAGAUUGACAUCGUUUCUGAUAUUUCCGACAUGAACCUCUGUGCCUGCAGCUCUGGACCUGCUGAAAAAUGUCCACGUCCAGGCUAUUAUUGGGCCCGGAACAUCAUCGCAAGCGGAAUUCAUUAUGAAUCUGGGGGAUAAGACCAAGGUCCCGAUCGUUUCCUUCUCGGCCACGAGUCCCUCCCUCUCGCCUGCUCAAUCACCUUAUUUCGUGAGGACCGCCUUGGACGACUCCUCUCAGGUGGGAUGCAUAGCCUCCAUCCUGAAGCUUUUUGGAUGGAGACAGGUGGUGCCCAUAUACGAGGACACGCGUUAUGGCACAGGCAUUAUACCCUACCUCGUCGACGCUCUCCAAGACUUUGACGGUCGAAUCCCCUACCGGAGUGUGAUCCAACCUUCUGCCACCGACGAUCAGAUCAAGGGGGAGCUCCUUAAAUUGAAAACCAUGUCAACGAGAGUGUUCGUCGUGCACAUGUUGCCCUCUCUCGGCUCUCGUCUGUUUCUCUUGGCCAGUGAGCUUGAAAUGGUGGAGGACGAGUACGUCUGGAUUGUCACCGACGGAAUGACGAAUCUGCUGGACUCCAUGAAUACUACUAUAAAAGAGUCUAUGCAAGGUGUUCUCGGCGUGAAGCCAUACGUGCCUAAAUCGGUUAGGCUCGCCGACUUCAGCCGACGGUGGAGAAGGAAGUACCAGGGAGAAAACCCAGACGAAGACGUGACAGAGCCUAACCUCUAUAGCCUAUGGGCGUACGAUACUGUUUGGGCUUUGGCAACGGCUGCAGAGAGAUUGGGCAUCUCAAAACCAGGAUUUCACAGCGUUCAAAUAGGAAACAACUCCACCGACUUGGGGGCUCUCGACGUAUCGCAGUCGGGUCCAGAUCUUCUAACGGCGAUUUUGAAGGUCCAGUUUGAAGGUCUCGCGGGAGAAUUCCUCCUUGUCAAGGGGCAGCUUCAGUCGUCCGGUUUCCAGAUCAUCAAUAUCAAUGGGAACGCUGGAAGGGAGAUCGGAUUCUGGAUGGCAGAAAAGAUCUCACGGUGGCCGAGCUCCCGGGGAAAAAUCAUGCCACAGGCCACCUCGAGGGAUCUACCUAUCAUAUGGCCGGGAGAUAGGAGGUCAGCGCCCAAGGGUUGGGUGAUACCGACCAGCGGGAAGAAGCUGAAGAUCGGCGUCCCUGUCAAAGAUGGAUUUAACCAGUUCAUGAAGGUACAGCGGAACGCUAAUGAUAAUCAGACUAAAAUUACCGGGUUUUGCGUCGACGUCUUUGACUCCGUCAUGAAGAUCAUGCCGUACAACGUCGCAUAUGAAUACGUACCUUUUGCAAAUGCCGAUGGCCAUAGCGCAGGGUCUUACAAUGACUUGGUGAAUGAAGUUGCGGAACAGGUAACUUUUCUUUGUGUCUUAGAAUCGCUUCAAUUUGACGUUAUCAUCUCGAAAUCAUGUUAUCAAUGCUUCAUUUCUUCAGUAUUCCAUAAUAAUGGUCAGGGGUCAAGUGAGGGAUAGCAUCAGGAAUUGACAAGAUUUGACGAACAUGUUUAAGUUUUUCCUUCCAAAUUUCAGGAUGGUUUUCGAUCUCUUUAGUGAUUGAUGUAUACCCAAGUUUACAGAUAUUGUUCUGACACUCCUCUUCCAAAAACACAGAGAUACGACGCUGUUGUUGGCGACACGACGAUCUUAGCUAACCGAUCGAUCAACGUAGACUUUACGUUACCCUUCACGGAGUCGGGUUGGACAAUGGUCGUCCUAGUGAAGGAGAACAAAGGGAAGAGCGGGUGGAUUUUCGUGAAGCCCUGGAGGAGCGACCUCUGGAUCGCCAGCUUCGCCUUCUUUGUCUUCACCGGCUUUGUGGUGUGGAUGAUCGAGCACCGGGUCAACCCAGCGUUCAGGGGUGCCCCUACGCAGCACCUCGGCAGGAGCUUCUACUUCACCUUCUCGACAAUGGUUUUCUCUCACAGUUCAGUACUUGACGCUAUUCCCUCCAAGCAUCCCUUCGUGAACCUUUUUCCUUAGCCACUGGGUGGUGAAGUGUGGUGCUGUGGGUUCUGUGACUGCAGGAGAGAACGUGGAGAGCAACUUCUCAAGAUUAGUGAUCAUCGUCUGGGUCUUUGUCGUCCUCAUCCUACAGUCGAGCUUCACAGCCAAUUUGGCGUCGCUUCUCACAAUCCAGAAGCUGGAGCCCGCCUUCACUGAUGUCCAAGAGCUUUUGAAGAGUGGGCAUAACGUCGGCUAUCAGGAAGGCUCCUUCAUAUAUAACCACCUAUUAGACCUCGGUUUUGACCAAGAUAGAAUCAAGAGCUUUGAGAAUCCUGAUCAGUAUGCUGAGGCGCUGUCUAAUGGGACGCACAACGGGGGAGUGGCUGCCAUUUUCGACGAGGUUCCGUACAUCAAGGUCUUUCUUUCCCAGUAUUGCUCUGACUACACCAUGGCCGGCCCCAUUUACAAGGCCGAUGGAUUCGGAUUUGUAAGUAUAAGUUCGCCAUUUCCACCGCAUUUAAUCUCUCCAUUCUAGUGUUGAAAAAGUCGGGCAUUCCUAUUCCCCAUUCCCAGUUAAGUUUCACAUUCCUUCGAUGCCAAGGAUCAGAACUAGCAUUGAUUUCGAUGUGGGUUUUCAAAUUAAUUUCAGGUCUUUCCAAAGGGCUCCCCUCUUGUGAGAGACGUUUCAUCGGCCAUACUGACAGUCACAGAGAAUGAAACAAUGAGAAAUAUCGAGAAGAAGUGGUUCGGCGACCAGACCACUUGCCGCAGGGAGGGGAGCCAGUUCAGCUCCAGCCGUCUCAGCCUAAAGAGCUUCGAGGGGCUCUUCUUUAUAACUGGGGCCGUGUCCACAGCUUCCCUGCUGCUCUUUCUUGGCAACUUCUUCUUCCAGAAUCGCAAAAAGGUCGCAUCGGACGAAUCGGAGGAUUCUGUCUGGAAGAAGGCGACCUCGAGAGCGGCCGCAUGGGCGAAGCACUACGACAAGAUGAGUCUCCCUAAAAAGGGAUGGAGCCGACGCGUCAGCGACGUGCCGAGCAAUGAGGAACGACCCAGGGUAGAUAUUGAAGAGGGUUACACGCCAAGAGCCGACGGUCGCAACUCCCUUGACAGCAUUUCAAGGGAGGAAAGCAUUUCAAGGGAGGACAUGGACGCUUCAUUUUCUACUGGAAUGGAGAGCCCACGAGUGCCGGGGGAACCGACCUUUCAUAGAGCUGUAGCGAGGUAACGAGGACGAACGCCCUCCACCCCUCAGCUCUCCACACAUGUUUCGAACGACUGUAAAGCAAAGGAAGUUAUGGAAAUUACCGUGUAAAUAGGACGAGGUUUGAAAGGAGAAAAAGCCCAGAUAUUCAUCGAUCCUGUAUCAGAUGAGGCAUAAACAUCAUUGCUCUCUGUCUAUUCUCGGCAAUACAUCAUAGAUCAGACGACGUGAGAACUUAUCCCCUACGAAGAGAAAACGGCUGCUAUUUUGAGGAGCAUUUUAUGUUCAAACUCUAUGAUGGUCAAUGGAGGACACAACUUAUUUGAAUACAAUGUGAACGGAAGAAGGCUUUGGAAAGGGGACGGUGGUGGUCAUGGAACCAUUGAAUGAUGUUUAAUACAAAAACUAUAGUGAUGCAAGAGAAACUGGAGGAAUUUUUUGAUUUGAUGUUGUUAGCGUCACCUGAAAGAAAUAAAUCUAGAACCACGCUUUUUUAGUCUACAGAAAACGUGAGUUUUGAGAGUUUUUCUUACCCUGAAUCCACAGAGAUUGAAAAAUCAUCCCCUGAGUCUACAAAGAUUUGGUUCUAAGCCUACAGAAGAUUCCUCUAAAUCCACCGAGUAAAUAAAAAUCCACCAAUAGAUAGGGUUCGUCACGUCCUGGAUGUGGACGCUGGGACUGGACGGCACAGAGCAAUUUGGGAUAGACGUCCGUCCCGUCCCAAAGGCAUCCCGUCCACAUGGUCCAUGAGUCAGACACCUUGGACGGGAGGGAUAGAAACUAAAAAAAAAAUCAUAAGUCAUUCAAAUCCAUAGCAUUCUUUCCCCAUGUUAAUUAGUUAUGAAUAAUUUAAAUCUUACGCUGUUCGUGUUAACUAAAUAAAUAAUUAUUUCUAAUAUUUUCAUAAUUUAAUUAUUUUUUAUUUCCUGUUUAUUUAAAUAUAUUUUAAAUUACAUCAUAUGUAAUAAAGAAAUAUUUGAAGAAAAGGCAAUGUUCAUCUAUUUGUUGCAAAAAGUCACGUUCUUAUGUGGUCAACCCUCUCAAAACUGUAACCUAAUUUAAUUUUUAAAUCAUCUAUGCCAUUUUAAAUAAGAUUUAUUCAUUCAAUCUCCACAUUCAUUACUUUUUUUUUAUAAAAACCUAUUAAAAAUAUAUUUUUAACAAUUUUUAAUGCGUCAAAUUUAAACACUUUUAGCCCAUUACGAAUUAUGGGCUUAUUGGGCCGAAUGGGACGGAAAUCCCGUCCCGUCCAAGCGUCCCAGCCGUCCCGUCCCCGUCAUCCGGGGGGUUGGACGGGACGAAAAGCCCGUCCCGCCUUCCCUACCAAUAGAGAAGAACAAUUUCAGAAAAGAAAAGGAAUCUGGAUUUUAUUAAUCGAAAAGUUGAAUGCUUCAGAGGUUAUAUGAGAGCCCUUUAUAUAGGGUAAAAAGAUGACUAAUUGCAAGAAAUUUGGAUCUCUAUAGAUCUUAUAAGAAAUAAAUAUGUUAAAAUAUUCUUAUAGUUCAAGCAGUUCUCUUAAGAACGUUCUUAACUAACUAUAAUUAUUGAAGUAGUUGAAAACAACUCUAAAGUUAAGCAAAGUUUUAUUAUAAAUACCAUUAACUGCUUAAGGUUUAUUAAAAUUAGAAAAACAUGAAAUAAAAGAACAAAAUUUGAAACUUAGACGCAUUUAACAUGUAUUAAAUCUUUUAUUGGAUGGAUUCGACUUGAAUUCGGGCCAAAAGGUGUCUUCACACCUCAUGUUCCUCUUGAUCACUUGCAUUAGGCUGAAAUUGGGCUGCAUUAUGCAGCCAGCUUCCACCGGCUGAUGAUGACUAUCAUUGAAAGAGUCUAGCUUGUGUAGAAAAGAAUGAUCUCUUGUCAAUUAUGCUCAAUUUCCUUACGUAAAAUUGGUCAAAAGUCUUCAACUUUAUUCAAUACAUGCGUGACUCGCUGAUGAGGAUCGGAGGAGCAGAUCACCGUCUACAUCUGCUGCUUAAGGGAUAAUUAUUCGUUAUUAUUCAGAAUUUUUUUAUCAUUUAAUCUUUAACUAAUUUGGAGGUAUAAAUAACCUCUUGUAUCUCGAGAUUAGGGCAGAUAAUAAGAAUCAUUGAUUUUCAGAAGGUACCUUUCAUCGCCAUUCGCGUGAGGAAGAGGCUGUAAGAGUCAUUAAUCAUCUACCAUUCGCCGCCGCCGUCCACCGUCCUCCAUCAACAGCCUGCGGCCGCCAUUUACCAUUCGGCGCUCUUCGUCCACCGUCCGCCGCCGUCCAUCGAUCGUCCGCCGCCGUAAUCGUGCCCAUAGCCACCGCCCCGCCAAAGACUGUUAGGGUUCGUUUCGGUGCCGUCGCUGCCGUCGCACGCCCUGUCGUCACAACCUGCCACGGCUGCCCACACCGGCACCGGCGUUCUGCUGCCGCAACCGCCGCUUUGCCGUCUCCGCAGCUCGGGCUUAAGUCUCCACAGGUUUGUGACCCAACGAACCGGCGGACCCGAACCGACCAGGAUCCGGCAGAUCCAAACCGGGUCAACACCCGAUCUUGUUGUCUAUGACAUUGGUCAACACCCGGUCAACAGUCACCAGUCAAGAACCUAGCUUCGACAUGUGCUCCACGGAGCAGUCCAUUUUUCUCUAGAUCCUUUCUUUUAGAUUGAGGAUUUUUUUAUGUAGCGUAUUUUUUAUGUGCAUGAUGCCAAGUGAUCCGCAGAGAAGUAUGCUGUGUUAUAUAGUUGAUGGAGAAUGUUAUGUAAGUCCAUUGAUUUCAGCUAGUCAAUUAACUCUGAUUGAAGCACAUCAUAAUAUUAAGUAGCUCCUUGACUAUGUCAAUUCAAUGCGUGUCAAAUCUUUCGAGAGACUGCUCAAACAUGUCUUAGUCAAUUCUCCUAAACUCAUAGACCUAUUAUGAGAGCCAUUCAAGCUCUAGCCUGCUUAUUUAGGGUUAGCUUAGUCAUCUCACCAUGCCUCAAAUCACUAGCUGAUGUUAGAUUGUUUUGGAUGAUUUAUCAGGUCUUCUAGCUGGGCUUGCCAAAUGAAUUUUACUGGCAUGCUGAUGGACCUAUGGCCCAAUAUGUCAAAAACAACUUGCUUUAGUUGACUCGCACACUACCCUAUUCAGUUCUUAUCCUCUCAACCUUAUCUUCUCUCCUCGUUAAUCCAACUACAUUGGUAUAAUACUUGUACGUGUCAUUGUGACUCUUCUUCAUCUUUGGUACUUGAAAAAUAUAAAUAUAGGAUUCAAUAAACUUACGAUUAACAUAAUCAAGGCUUAUUGGGAAUCAAGAAUAAAAAUCUGUAGACACCUAUUUACAUUUCUUGGGGUAAGAUCAAUAUUUUCUAUGUUUAUCAAAACAAAUUAUUAUGACUAAAAUUGCUAUAAAAUUAAAGUCAUUAUGCUCUGUACUUAUUAUUUCAUGCAUUUGUUAAUAAUUUUCCCCAAUGUCUUUUGAAAAUAUAUUAGUAAGAGUUAGCAAUAGUUACCAAACUAGAUUUUUACGUUUCUUCAAUAUAAUAAAGAUUAAGUGGUUGAGAUUUUUGGUUGCUCAUAAAGUUCUAAAAUUGGCAAGAUUGACUUUUGAAGAAUAGUACUUUAAUUGCAUAAAAUUCAGAAAUAAAUAUUUUUCUGUUCAAAGUCUGCCCCCAAAUGAAUUGGAAAGAUAUUAAACUAAAAGAAAAAUUAUUCAGAAACAUAAAAAGAAUAUCAGUAACAAGAAAAUAAUUUUUCUCCCUAUUUUUCAUGCUCUUCCUCCAUCUUGGUGCUCCCAUUCCUCUCUAGCCAGGCCUCCACAUUUUCACUCUACUCUUUCAGUUUUCUUCCUAUAGAUCCAAAAAAAAAAUGAGAGCCUUAGUUAGCUCCUCAUCUCUUCUUUCCAUUGUUGAAAUUUUCUUUUCUUCUAUUUUUCCUCAAAAUUCAUUUUAUGUGCAGAAAUAAUCAAUAAUAUCUAUAUCAGAUGAUAACCGAUUAUUAAAUACAUACCCAUCAUCCACCAGUGAAAAUCAUAUCUAUUUUACUUGAAAAUGAUCAAUUAUUGUGCUGAGAAUCAUUUGAUUUUUGUGUUGGCGAGUGAAAAGGCUUUGGGUGACAUGGUGCUUUGUACAUCAUUGGAUGAAGACACUGUAGUUCCUCUUUUAUUUGAAAUAAAUGCCGCACACAUUUUUUUGAGAUUCGAGCUUCUGCUUUGUGUGAUGAUUACUAAGGGAUAUGGUUCUUCCUACAUCAUUUAAUCAUGCCACUUUUUAGCUUCACGAGAUUUGAACCUUUUCACUCUAUCUGUGGACUUAAGAUGUGACACUUUAGAUGACAUCAUAUUGAGCUGCCAUGGACUGUCAGAUCUAAAACAUGUGAAAAAUUCAGUUAGUUUCACAUUGAUUAUUCCGGUGGAGAACACACAUAAAUAAAUCGUGCUCCCUCUUUCUCAUCUGAUUCAAAGGCUCUAGUCAACUAAAAUCUUCUUCUUAGUUCAUGACUAUAGGGUGUCAAAGUUGAGAAGAACCUCUGCUUCUCUUAUAUAUAUUUCACAACUUUAGGUGAGCAAAGUCAGAGAAGAUUGUACUUUAUUUUUAGAUCACAUUUCUUGGAGAACCUUAUUUCCCAUAAUUUAAUGUAAAAAAGGAGUAUUUACCCAACAAAGAUCAACAAGCAUUGAUGAGAUGAUGUUGAUCAUUCUAUUCUCUUUUCCUUGCAAUCGAAGGUAAGCAAUGUAAAGCCUAAUCACUCUUUUCCUCAAGUAAUUCUAUCUCUUUUACAUUCUUAUUCUUCUCUUCAUGUUCUUAUUCCUUUCUCCCUUUCUUUCUCUUCUAUUCCUUUUAUUUUCUCCUCUUCCAAUUAUUCUUCCUUUCACUCAUUUAUUUCUCCACCCUUCAUGUUCUUCUUCCUUUCUCCCCUUUCUUUAUCCUCUCUUCCUAUCACUUUCUCUUCUUUUCAAGUUCUUCUUCCUUUUUGCCCUUUCGUUCUCUUAUCUACAUCUCUCUUUCUCUUCCUCUUCUACAGUCAAAACCAAGUAGCAUCAGGAAGGUUUUUCUUCUCAUUCUUGUUAGUCCAAAUAAUUGCUAAAGAGAUCAAGGGGGGAGGGAUGAAUUGAUCUCAAAACCUUUUUUUAUGUAUAUUAGUUUUCCAUGAGUUUAUCUUAUAGUAAUAUAACAAUAAUUAAGAUUAAUAUAUAAUGCAUGAUAUUUUUAUUGUGGUUAGGCCAGACUCUUUUGGCUUACAUCCACUUUGAGGAACUACCUCAAUUCUACUAUUCCACCAACAAAAUACACUUGAUUUUAUGGGAAUCAAGAACCAUUUUUACAAUCAGGCUUCUUAAGUCACAUGCCACUUAUCCUAGAAUUCUAAUCUUACAAUUCAUAGAUUUCUUUAUUCUUCAUUGUAAGCACACACCUUGUGCCUUAAUGGACUAUUAGGCUGCAUGGAAAACAUCCACAUGUAUCUCCACCAAACCACACAUCAUAAUUCUAACACAAACCUAAAGACAGUUGUGGAAUGAGUUUACCAUGGCCUUCAUGAGAUGUUUCCAUUCACCACUGAUGGUUCAAGGUGUUGAAAUAGGUUGGCGAAGGUUAGGCUGAAGUGGUACAUGAUUUUGUUGUUCAAAAGAUGUUUAAAAGUUCCUUGGAUUGAUUUGCUUGUGCCUAAACCUUGGAAAAUUGAAGGUGGAUCAAUGUUGAGGAAGAAACAAAGUUGAUAUAGUAGCUGUUUUCCUGAAAUUUGAUUUUUUCUUCUUGCGCUUAUAUGAAAGAGGAAAUAUAUAUCUAAACAUAUAUAGGUAGGGUUGAGUGCCCUUUUCAAUCCUUAUCAAGCUCAAUGAGUAGCUUAAAAAAGACCUUGACAAACCAUUUGCGGAUCCUAAAAAAAUAUAGAAAAACAGACAAAGAAUGAAAAAUGCACAACUCUGUUGAUACAUAAUAUUUUUCUAAAAUCUUUCAAUAUUUGGAUUCCUCUUCGAGUUUUCUUUCCAUUGAUUACUCUCACCCAAUACUUAUCACAUAUUUAAGUAGCAAAUGUCAUGCCUCUAGAUGAUUUUUCUCCUCUGUAAACAUAUUAGGAUAAUAAUCAUAAAAAAUCAAAAUAUCAAAUCAACGACUAAACUAUUUUCUCUGAUAUUUUUUCAGAUGAAUCCUCAAAUAUGUUUGAAUUUAUUACUCAUAUGCUAUAUUAUUUAAACCAUUUUGAUAAAAAUAUUUAAAUACAAAGAUUUACUCAUAAGCAAAUGAGAGUAUUACUGCACAAAUAUUUUAUUAUCUUCAUAUUAAGAUUGUAUAAGAGGCAUAUUCAUGGCCAAUAUUUAAAUAUAAUAACAUAUUAUUCAUAUGAUAUAUUUUUAUAUCAAUAUUUAAACAAUCUUAACCCUUUAAUAAAUUUAAUAAAUCACUUUUGGUUCAAUUCACCUCACAUAUCAUUAAUCAUAGGAUAAUCAACUUAAUGUCCAAAAAAUCAUCAAAACCAUAUUUCUGUUUUUUGAGUUAACGCAUGACUCAACAGUUCUCCCAUUCUUUCUCAUUUCCUACAGGCUCCAAUAAGAGUCAAUAGCAAUAAAUGACUGUCUAUGAGUCUUCUCUUCCUUUGUGUCCUUUUCGUGUCAUUAAAGAUUUCAUUCUCUUUCUAUUCCAUGAUUCUUAUUCUCAUUCAUGUGUUAGAUAUUGUUAUCCCUUUCUUUCUCCCAUCCACUUCGCCAUCAAAGAGAAAAUGAGUACUUAGUCUUAGGGUUCAUAUGAGAUUCUAGUUUAAAUAUCUUUCGUGGGCAAUUGGGCAAAUAAUUUUUUCUGAGAAAGGAAAUAAUUGGAUUACUUAGUUUCAUUUAACUCUCAUUAAAUGAUGCUGGAAAACCAAGCUCAUUUCAUUAUUUAUAUCAUCAUUUAAGGAGAAAAAUCGCCAUCCAAGCACAAUGGCCUGAGAGAUUAUUUUAUCCUAUCUUCAUAGGAAGAGAGGAAGAUGUUUUGCAAUCUAUAAUCAAGGAAGAGGAAGAUGGAUGCUGCAUGAGCCCAAUGAAAGGAUUGGGUAUGUGACAUUUAUUAUUUAUGAUUUGAUGUUGAGAUCCUUCAGGACAUGUAGACUGGCACUUUGAGGGUAGUUGUGAUCUCUUCCCCAUCUUCUUGCACUUCUUAGGGUCUAACAAUUGCUUGUCUAGUGGCCACACAAUUGGAACUGUAAAGUCUUGUCUUAUCGAUUAUGAGUAGAAGUCCUUGGAAUCUUAUUAAUAAAUUAUAAAGGUUAGUUCCAAAUUUUAUCUAAUCCUACUAGAUUCUUCUUAGAUUUAACAGGUUCCAUUACUAGAACAGUAGGAUUCAGUCAAACCAAAACCAAUAGAACAAACUAUAUUCUAGGAAUUUCAUGCCAUUGAUGAAUGAGAGCUCAACUUUGAAAAAGAGAGAGGGAAUUUCAAAGAUACUCUCAAGGAUAAGAGGGGGGCUUGUUCUACUUUCCCUAUGCAUCAUUGAUCUACAAUAAGUCCCUCUCUCUCUCUCUCUCUCUCUCAAUUCAAGUAUGCUUUCUUCUCCAUGAUCUAUGCUGUACACAAGGUUCAUGGUCGUUCUCUUUUCUCUUUUGGUCUUGUCCUCAUCCCUUUUUAGCAGGUGGUAGUUUUUGGCAGUGGCUUUGUCCUCAUUGAUGUAGUUCCAUGUGGGCAUAGUGCUUGACCAUGAUACACAAUUGAGGAAGAUGAGCUGUAUAACCAUAUCUCUAGCAAAAGGUAAUUUCUACAGCAUGGGUGAAACCUAAGACACUAAGCUUACCUUCCACCAACAAGUUUAAUGCAGAGAUGACAUCGAGGUGGCUUCAUGAUAAUUCAACAAAUUAUCUAAAUAAAAAGGUGAGAAGAUGUAAGAUUAAAGCCUAAAAAAAUGGAGGAAUAUGAUGAUUAUCCAUUAAACAUUCUAUAUAUGCAUAUUCACGUGAUGGUUUAUUUAUUUUAUUAUCUUUCUAUUCUUUGUUAUAAGUAUGGAAAUGAUGAAAUAAAUGAGAUUAUUUAUGUGUGAAAUAGCAUGAUUUCUAGUUUUUGGGGAGAAGAUUAAUUGAUAAACAUGAUGCAACUUCAUGUGAUGAAUUGAUGUUGGUAAAACCAUAAUUUUGAUGAGAUAUACUUGUAAUUCUUGUAGGCAUGAGGGGGAAAAGAGGAAGACAAAUGCUAGGACAACUAAUUAAAUAAUGGGAGCAGUUGCCACUUCUCAUUCAUGAUUUCACCUUGUCUCACCUCUUGAUGUGUCCCUCUUCCACCAAUGGGAUGACAUGGUCAUCCUUCCUCAAUCUUAUCCUCAAUUACCUUGGAUAGGUCAUCCCAUUUCUUCUCCCUCCUCUUUAAAGGUGACAACACUAGAGGCUAUCGUGGAUUGUCCAAGGUCAACACACAUGGACACCUUGGGUCUCCAAUCCGUGCAUCUUCCUCCCAUGAUGUAGUAGAGCAAGGAUCGUCACUGAAAAUUAUCAUCUAUACAUGGCCAACAUUCUCUCUCCCUCAAUUGUCAAAUUAAGAGGGAGAAACCAUUAAUUUGUGCUGAUUUCUUAAGUUUUUUUUAAUCUUUUCAUUUCAUUUUAUUCAUCAAUUAAUCAAAUCAUGUUUUUCACCUUUGUUGUGAUUAAAUUCCAUGUAGAUUCUUUCAUACAGUUAGAGGAUCAUUGAGCAUUGAAAAAUUCUCAUUCUCCCAUCUGUUGGUCAACGUGACCUUGAGAGAAAAUCAUCUCUCAACAUGUUCUGAUUAAUAUUAGACUUGAUCUAUUGAAUGAAAAAAUUAUUUUUUGAGAAAAAGUCAUAAGUAUUUGUGAGUUAAAUUAGACCAUGAUUUAGAGAGUAUUAGUGUGAGAGAUAGAUCUCAAUUAAAUCAUCAAUCAAUAUAAAUUCAUCAAUUCAAAAUUUUACAUGUAUUCGGCCCAAAUUUCACAACAUUAUUAAUAGAAGAAUUCAAUUGAAAUUUGGUUUAUAAAUAUAAUAUUUAAUUUCUUUAAAUAACAACAACUAGAGCCAAUAACUUCAACAAGUGUGCAUCUCUAUUGUCUUCUUAUUUUUACACUGAAUUUUCAUCUUGUAGCCUAUUAUAGCCAUAUGAUGUAGAUCAUGAAUGAAAUCCCUCUUAGUCUGCCAUCUUUCUAAAGCAUAGAUUUUCUUAUUGUAUCACUUAAAGUAUUUAGCAUCAUGUGAUGGUUUCUUUGGGUGACUAAAUUUGAAUGUUUGCAUUUUCCAAGUAAUAGUGAUAAUAAGUCAACUAUCUACAACUAAUACUUCUCUUGGAACACAAAAUCAUGUUUAUUUUAAUAUUCGUGAAUUGAUUUAUCAACAUCAAGAUUUCUGCCAUAUGUUGUACCAACGAGUUAUCUUUUGAGAUUACAUUAUACCACAACUUAUUAGUGCAACUAGUUGAUACUUCUAUCAGCAAAUAUUCAUGUCACUAGAGUAGUAUGUACAUAUUAUUUAGAGUGAGACAAUGUGAAAAUUCAUUUGAAGUGGAUUUAUCAUUUGGUUUUUAUCCUUUUUACGUGUUUGUUAAUCAAGCCAUUAUAAUUUAUAGGAAAAUAUUGAAACUACUAGGUAGUUAGGGAAAAUAUUGAAACUCAUGGAAAUCUUAUUUACAAUGGACUAUUUAAAAAUAAAGGUAACAAAUGAAUGAGAACAUUAAUUCAGUUAAUACAUGUACAUAAACCUUCAACAAGAUUUUAAAUAGACAAAUCUUUGACUGAAGAAGAUUUGAUAGUUACUAUUAGUUGACUUUCACCUGUCGAAGCAAAUAUGAUCUUCUAUGUCUGCAGCUCUCAAUUUGAUGUAGUAAGUUCAAGUGCAGGUGAUUAUUGGCCCAUUGACUUCCUCUCAAGUAGAUUUUAGUAUAAAAAUUGGGAACAAAUGUCAUGUGCCAAUAAUUUUAUUCUCAUCGAUCAAAUCCUCCCUCUCGACACUUUGGUGGCCCUAUUUCGUGAGAACAACUUUGAAUGACUCUACUCAAGUUGGCUGCUAGCCUCCAUCAUUGAUCUGUAUCCUUGGAGGGAAGUCAUUCCCAUAUAUGAAAACACCUAAUACAGCAUUGGCAUAAUACCCUACUUCAUCGACAGCUUUCAAAAAAUACACACUCGAGUUUCAUAUCAAAGCAUCAUCGAGAGUUUUGCCUCUAAUCAUCAGAUCAGAGAGGAACUCUACAAGCUGAAAAACAUGUCAAUGAGGGUGUUUGUGGUGCACAUCCAUUUUCCUUGGCUCUCACCUCUAUUCUUUGGUCGGCAAAGUGGGUAUGAUGCAAGAGGGGUUGGUUUGGAUCAUAACAAACGAGAUGGCAAACCUAUUAGCAACCAUGAAAUCUUCCAUAGUCCUAUACGCCUUGGUCAAUGUAAGUAGUCAUUAGACUGAAGUCCUAAAUGCCUUGGUUGAAUGUGCUGACCAACUUCAUGGACAAGUUGAAGAGGAGAUUCUAAGACGAACCCUGGGGAAGACACAAUCGAUCCCAAUGUUUACUCUAUGUGGGCGUACAAUACCAACUAGGCAAUGUUGGUGUUUGUAAAUAGUUUGGCAAACAUAAGACAAAAGUUUAAUAAUGGGCAAUCUAUGAACAAUAUAAGAGAAUUUGGAACAUUUUAUUCAUAUAGAGUAGGCUUUCAACUACUGACAACUUCACGGAAGACAAUUUGAAGGGGUCGUAGGAAAGUUUCAUCUUGCUGAUAGAAAGUUUUAGUUGUCUAACCUUGAGAUUGUGAAUGUUCUUGGGACGGGAUAGUGACAGGUUAUAGUCUAGUCUUUAUAGAAAGGGCUCUAAGUAUACCCUUCUGGACCCUAGGUGUCAUCAUCAAAGAAUCUAACAAACAUAUGGCAGGGGAAGGUGUGGCCAAUGCCCAAGGACCGGAGGCUACUAGGAACAGAAAAAGUUGAGCAUCAGAGUACUAAAAAAAAGAUGAAUUCUAGCUGUUCGUGUACUCAAAUGGAAAUGACUCACACUUUAAAUGGUAUUCCAUUGAUGACUUUGAAGCCAUCAUGUAGAGUAUGAAUUGCAACUACGAAUAUAAGUAUGUGCAAUUUAUCGACGACACCAGUCAUAUGAAUAGGAGUUAUGAUGACCUUAUGAGACAAGUUUUUUUGAAGGUGAAUCUAAAGCCAAUUAAAUUUACUCAUAUCUCUCCAACACUUUAUAUUUCAUGUUGUGUUCUGAAAACUACUAAGUCACGUUCUUGAUGCCUAUCUUUGACAAGCAUCUUCUAAGAAACAUGGGAAUUAUUUAGUAUAGAAAUGGUAGUUUGGCAUAUUUCCUAAAAUAUCUAGUACUAUUUGUAAGGGAGUCAACCAUAUCAUACCAUACCAUGUUGGAGGGGUAACUUGGUGCCUCUACAAUAAUUUUGAUUUGACAUCUCAUUAUAUUGAGUUUUAUUUAGCAUUCCAUCAUCUUAGUAAAGGAAUGAAUGAUGCAAAGUAGUAUAAUGUUUAUUCUAACUUUUAAAUAUCAUCACUAUCAAGUGCAUGAUUGAGCUGUGGAGAUGACAAAUCUUUUUAAAUGCUUAAGGCUUUGCUUUCAGUCAACUACAGAAGUUAGAUGUCAUUGUUGUUGACACAACAAUCUUGGGUAGUUGAGCCAAGAUGGUUGAUUUCAUGACUUCCAUAUAUGGAAUCUGGGUGGACGAUACUUGCAUGGGUAAAAAGAGCACAAGGUGUUGGAAGCAUGGUUCAUCAUGAUGCUAUGGAAAGUUGACCUCUUGAUUGUUAGCUUUGCCUUCUUCAUCUUCACCAGCUUUGUUGUGUGGACGAUUGAUCACUAGAUUAACCCCUUGUUCAUGGUGUAAAGGAAAACCAAACUAAUUAGAAACAACUAUUUCAUACUCACAAGAUCGAUAUAUGUGAAUAGAUUAAGAAUAUUCUAAUGGCUCUAUUCCAAGCCUAUAUAUAUAACCAUUGUAAAAUACCGAUGUAAUCUUUUCUUGAAUGAUAGCCAUUUAAUUCCUUCCUAUUCUUUUCCUCUUCUUCCUCUUUUCUUCCAAUUUUAAUUCCUUUCAUGGUAUCAAAGUCAUAGUGGCUCGAAUGGUGGCAUCUUCAAAUACCAUCACCAUCAUCACCCCUCAAGUAAUAAUUGUCACAAGCACUCAAGUUCCAUUGAUUGUUCUGAUUGGCCUUGUAUUACUAGUAAAAUUCUCUAAUGAUGAUCAUCUUGUAUUGAAAAAUUCAAUCAUUCCUAUUUUUAAUGGAUACGAUUUGAUGAAAUUCAUUGAAGAAGAUCCUUUGACCAUAUCAAUGGCAAAUCAAAGCAAUGACAUCAUUCCAAAUCUAGAUUAUAAGAUAUGGUAGAGGAAUGACCAACUAGUCCUUGGUUUCUUGAUUUCAUCUCCCUCUUUGAAAAUAUUUUAUUUCAGAAAAACAUCACAAAUGAAAUGUAGAAUGCCUUAGAAACUGCCUACUCUUCUAGAAGAAAAUCAAGAAUCAUAGAUUUUCAACAAAAACUUCAUAACGCCAACAAAGGAGAGAUGUCUACAAAGAACUACAUCAAAAUGUUCAUGAAAAUUACAAAUGAACUAUCAUCAACAAGACAACUAGUGGAUGAUACAGCUAUGAUUUUCAUAUUUCUAAGAGGACUUGGUACACAAUAUAUUCCAUAUAUAGUUAGUAUCAAUCUUAACAUAAAUCAUCUCUUCUUCGAGGAUAACAUAGCAAGUUUAAAAUCACACGAUGCUAUUUGUGCCCUUCCACGAAAAUCAAAACAUCAAUUAAAUUUCUCCUCUUACUAAUCAUGUUCAAGUUUCUAGCAAUCCGAAUUAGAAUCAAUCAAAGAAUAACUAGCAAUAUCUGAAUUGUGGUCAAUUUCAAAAUCAGAGAAAACAAAAUAAAGGUAGAGGAAACCAAAAUUGAUAGCCUCAUUGUCAAAUAUGCUCUCAAUUUGGCCAUUGUGGUAGAGAGUGUAAACAAAAGUUACAUAGACACAUUCCUAGUGUAGCAACAAAUUGCACCUCAACAAAUAUUAUUUUUCACAAGCUCCUCCUCAAGCAUCACACAAUUUGGACCAUCACCUGAUGCAUCAUCCUCAACAUGGUAUGGUGAUAGUGGAGAGACUUACCACAUAACACCUGAUCAAAAUGUCUUGACGUAUCCAACAAAUUAUUAAGAAUAAGACCAGUUCAUUGUCAAUAAUGGCUUAGGUUUGAAAAUUAAUUCUAUUAGUUCUACUUAUUUACAAUCAAUAUCUUCCCUUGAAAUUAAAACAUAUAUAUCAUUUUCUAGAAAUAGCAUGAAAUUUACUUUUAGUGAAACAAUUAAAAAUUGAUAAAAAUAUUUUUUUCAAAUUCCAUAUUGACUAUUGUCUUGUGAAAGACAAGAUCAAUCACAAAUCCUCCUUUGGGGCACAAUUGAAGAAGGGCUAUUCUAGCUGAAGCCAUAUCUUCAUAAUAAUGUAGCAGCCUUUCUUGGAGAAUGAAUUGAUUCAAACACUUGGAAUAAUUUGUUAGGUCAUCCACAAUUCAAAAUUUUUGAGGAAAAUAAUUGACAAGCAUAGUCUUUCAACCAUACAAAUGUCUAGAAACUUUAUGUGUGACUCUUGCUGUGUUUCAAAGUUUCACAAGUUACCUUUCUUUAAAUCCUUCAAUAGUACUACAAAACCUCUUGAACUGAUCCAUUUAGAUUUAUGGGGACCCUCACAUAUUUUAUGUCAUUUUAAAUUUUCUUUUUACAUUAUUUUCAUUGAUGAUUAUAGUUAAUAUACCUUGUUAUAUCCUUUAAAAUUAAAAACUGAUGUCUUUAAUACAUUUCUUGAAUAUCAAAAUAGAGUUGAAAAAUAAUUUUCAACUAAGAUAAUCUUGUUCCAAUCUAAUUGGGGAGGAGAAUAUCAAUCUCUUCACAAAUAAUUCAAAACAAUUGGAAUUAUUCAUAAGGUAUCCUAUCCUCAUACUCUUUAACAAAAUAGAGCUGUUGAGAGAAAAUAUCACCACCUCAUAGAAACAAUUAUCUCUCCGUCAUCAAGCUUCUAUGCCCUAAAAGUAUGGGAAUGAACUUACAUGUAAAAUAGCUUACCUCAUAAAUUACAUGCCCACCCUCAUUCUCAAAAACAAGUCACCCUAUGAAAUACUUUGCAAGUCAUCUCCUGCCUACAAUUUUUUAAAAACCUUCAGCUAUUUAUGUUAUCCACAUCUUUGGCCAUAUAGUUCAAAUAAACUCAUCUCUUGAUCAAACAAUAUGUAUUUCUUAGAUAUACCUCUCUUCACAUUAGUUGUAGAUGUUUAUCACUCAAUUCUAGAAAAUAUAUAUUUUCAGACGUCAUUUUUCAUGAACAGAACUUUCAUUUUUAAAAAAAUCCUCAAAUUGCAUCCUCACAAACUCCUUUUCAUGGCAAUGGAAUUUUAGGAUAUUUUCUUCAUCCUCUUCAUUGGCAAACUGCACCAACUUUACCUCCAUAGACUGUCCCAACUUUCCUUUUUGUAAUACAACCUUCAUCUCCAUUUACCCAAUCUAAGAACAUAGAAAACAUCCCUAGACCUCCCACUAUUCUUACUAUUACUCCUUUCUAUUCUCCAAUCUCACCAUCUUCUCCCACUCACUCCUUUUCAACUUAACAAACUACUUCUGCUGCACCAUCUUCAUCCCUUGAGCUAAAGAUAGAUCUUUAUAUGACGUUUACAUUGAUUUUGGUGUCAAUCUCUUCUCCCUCCAAAAGAAUUUAAAUCCCAAAGCUAAUGUCUCUACUCUCACCACCAAGCAUCCACUACCUCUCUAUUUUACAUCCAUUAAACACUUCUCUAUACAAACAUGUUUCAAAUCCACAUCUCAGCACCUUGAGCGAAUGAAAGCCAUGAUGACUAAAUAUUAGGCACUCCUACACAAUAAGACCUGGACAUUAAUUCCACAAUCUCCUAACAUCAAUGUAGUAGGUUGUAAAUGGGUUUUCCGAUUAAAGCACAAACUAGAUGAGUAGAUUGACAAGUAUAAAGCGUGCUUAGUAGCCAAAGGCUUUCACCAAUAAGAAGGCUUUGACUAUUAAGAAACCUGAAGUCUAGUGGUUUAAAUAACCACUAUUAGAUUAUUACUCUCUUUAGCCACUAGCCACAAUUGGUUCAUACACCAAUUAGAUGUAUCAAAUGCAUUUCUACAUGGAGAUGUCGCUGAGGUUGUUUGCAUGGAACAACCUUCAGGAUUUCAUUACCCCUCACAUCUUGAUUAUGUAUGUACAAUUCACAAAUCUAUUUAUGACUUAAAACAAUCACCUCAAGCUUGGUUUCAUAAACUCAAUUUUCACCUAACUAAACUUAUUUUCAUUUUGAGUUCUCAAGACCACUUUAGUUAUUUAUGUUGAUGACAUCUUACAUAUAAGGCCCAAUCAUAAUCAUAUUACUUUUUUUAUAUCCUCUCUACAGAUAACUUUUGUUAUUAAAGAUUUAGGUCAUGCACAUUUUUUUCUUGGAGUUGAAUUUCAAAAGAAUACAAAUGGAUACAUGUUGUCGAAUCCAAAUACCAACUUCACUACUUCACUACAAGGGCAUGGACCAAAGUAAGCCACUCUCAACUCUUUACCUACGUCCUCAUCUAUAUAUGGCAAUCAAUACAUUGUUGGACACCACCCCCAAUCGAAGCAUCAUUGGCACUCUCCAGUACACCACCAUCACUUAACUGGACAUCUCCUUUGCCAUCAACAAAGCUUGUUAGAAAAUAUAUUCUCGAGCUGCCAAAGACUGGUUACAUCUCAAACAUCUUCUUUGAUACCUCAAAGGAACGAUUCUUAUAGACUUCAAAUUCAUCGCAACUCAUACAUAGUUCUCUCUACUUUUAGUGAUGUUGAUUGGGCUGGCUCCAAAGAAGACCGAUGGUCGACUGGCACCUACUUAAUUUUCCUUGGCCACAAUUUAAUCUCCUGGUCAUCAAAGAAACAGUCAACUAUUUCAAGAUCCAACACUGGAUUAGUCGAGCUAAUAUGACUUCAAUCACUACUCAACGAGCUAAGAGUUCACGUACGAACUAUUCCAAUCCUUCAUUACGAUAACAUUGGAGCUACUUCCUUGUCAGUGAAUCUAAGUUUUCAUGCAUAAACUAAACACAUGAAAAUCGACCUUCAUUUCGUUUGUGAGAGGGCAGCUUCCAAGCAACUUUAAGUCGCAUUCAUUUCCAACACCCAUCAACGGCUCCAUCUGGAAAAGAAGGGCGUCACCGGCGGCCGCAUGGAUGAAACACUAGGACAGCAGGGACUCCCCCUCUAGCAUCCUCUAGCAGGAUGGAAGAAGGCCGUGACGGCGAGGAACCAGUUGAUGAUCCUGAAGGGAGCGGAGCGGUUCGGGCAGUAGCGGCCGAGGAGCCGACGGCCAAGCCGACGAACUGGAAGCAGCAACUUCCGGAGACCAGCGGCGCGGUUACAUGUGUUGCUUGCUCUGCAGUUCUCCGCCUUCCUGCCGGUCCCAUGCGGGGAAUUGGGCUGUGGCAAUCGGUCCGAGUCCCUUCUUCUGGAGACGGAACGGUGGGGAAGGGCCCGCCUCGCCUCUCGGAUUCCCUACACGUGUCGGCCUGCCUGCGUGGCCUGACCGAUCUCCUGCCUGCCUUUCGGGUUGCUUUGAUUCACUCUGCUUCAUCCACCACCAAGUCCACGCUCGAUGCGCAGCUGGGGAUUUGUGGGGCCCACAUUCGCCGACACGUCAGCAUUGACCCUGGGGUUUCAAAUUCCGCGUGUAGAGCUGUCUAUUUCGAUUGUACGGAGCGCCCAAAGUCCAACUCCCCGGAUUCUCAUCUCGGGUGGCUGGUUCUUCGAUCCCGCAGAGCUGCCGGCAGCCUCCAGAAUUCUGGCUGCCGCCCAUGGCAUCUGGUUCCUCCUCGUCGUCGUCCCUCGUUUCCAGGGCCAAGACGGCUAUCCACUCCGCGGCAGCCAAGGCGGAGAAGGUCCUCACGGACAUCCGAAUCGAUCUGAAGAACGAUCGGGAGCGAGGUCUUCACCCUGAUUUCUCCCCUCCAUUCCUACGCACGCGCACGCGAGAUCUCCGAUACCUGGAUGGGAUUGCCGGAUCGAAGAAUUGUUUCGUUGUUCGUAGCCGUUUUAAUUUAUCUUUCCGGGGAUCCCCUCUCACCGGUUGAUUGGGCUUAUUUAGGUGAUGGAAAGCCUCAGAAUUUGGCGAGGAGGGAGGGAGGAGAUCAGUUGACAGCGUCUACUGACUUUGAAGAACCUGAAAAAACGUCCGAGGAGGUGCUUCUUUAAUUUUUUUGUUUUUUCUAACAUCUUUUGUCUUCAUCUUCAAAUAAACAGUCUGACCGUUUUUUCGACAUAUUUUGUGAUCAUUUUUUUUACUUUGAGUUAAUUAUUGUUCUCCAUGUCUGAGAGUCGGUUAUGGUUAUUUUAAGAUUUUGUUCUGUGCCCAUUUUCUUGGAGAAUUGGGGGGCAAUUCUGAUGGCCGGUGUCAUUCUACCACAAAACUGUAUGCCUUUUUAGCGUCCAAUUUUAUUGAUUUGGAUUUCAAUUUGUCUCAAUCGUGAUAAGAGUAGGUAGGUUUCCUUUGAUACAUUACAUUCUCUGUUGACAUAAAACAGUGAUGGGUCACUCACUGGCAGAGGUGGCAUGUUGUAGUCUGCAUCUCAUUCUCAAGCAUGUUAUGCGGUCUCCUUGCAAUGUUGAUGAUUAUAAAUCAAACCAGAUCCAUGAAAAAAAAUUAACUGGUUUGGUAGGAGUUUGCUAAUGAGUGUCUUGAACACGUUAUCUCCUGUUUUUAUUCAAAAUUUAUAGCACUGGCUCUGUUACCCAUGUGUUGGAUAUUAGCAAAACAUUGAUCAGAGUCUGAUCAACAGGUGAUAGCGUUGAUGAUGACAUUCGAUAAAGCAUGGGCGUUAUAUUCUCUUAGGCAUCCCCCACGUGCCAAGGAUGUGUAUGCCUGGAAAUCAUUUUUCUAGCUUGGAUAAUAGAAUAAUAGAAGUUUUAGAUGUUGGGAAGAGAUGAAUCCUUCAUAUGAAGUAUUUGAUUCACACAAAUUAGAAUCUUAAGGUGAUAAACCUAAUUCUAACCUUUUCUUGGUCUUAUCUGUACAUUGUUGUGAUCAUUAUCAUAUCGUAAUAAUUAAAGGAAUAGAUGAAGAUAAAAUAAUUAAGUAUGGAGGCUUUUAUUAAAAGAUAAUAAUAUCAUGGAAAAUAUCUUCUAGGCAUGUAUUUUAGACAUAGAUGUGUUUCCAUAAUUUGAUGUUUAACUGGAUACAUUUUCAAAUAAUAUUGGAUUUUUGUGCCAACUUACUGACUAGAGAGGAAUAAAUUUUUCCUUGGGUUGGAAGUGAAUCAAGUUUAGUGCUGACCCCAGGUCAACAUGGAGUUCUUGUAGUCUUCUCAGUCCUUGACAUGGAGUCGAUCAAUCAUUAAAUUAGGAAAUAACAUUGUGAAAAGGAUAAUUGACGAAUAACUUAUUUAUUGAAACAGAAAUAGCAUUAUUUUCUUUCUCUUGAAAUCAACUGUCUUUAUGUAGAUUCUUUUUUAAUAAACCUGAACUACAAUUUUUACUAUACAUGAUUUUCGAAUAUUCACGAAUUUUAAAUAUGAUACACAAUACUGCUAUUGUCACAACAAGUCACUAUAUUUAUCUCUAAAAUAAGAUUUUUCCUGGUCGUCGACUGUUCCUGCAUUUGAUGAGAUGGCAGGAUGUUAGUUACCUUUGUAGUCUAUUUGAUUUAUUAAACCCCGAAUCGAUUGGCAUGGGAUAUUAUCAUGAAAAGUUGAUAUAUGAGUCGUUCAAAGUCUUGUACUUACUCCCAAUAACUGAUUAUGCAUAUUUUGGGGUUUAGGAGCUUAUAUUUUAGUGACUUCCUUGAACAGUAGUGAUUGGGGCCAACCUGCAAUACUUUAAAAGAGAAUGAUGAAGAUAGGAUUAGCUGAUUUUCGGAACCAUCUUGAUCAGAUGACUAAAAAAUAAAAUAUGAUGUCCAUUUUCAGCAGCAGGCUUAUGGGAGUGGAAAGUAUAGGAUAUGUCUGUUUUCUGUUUCAUUAAUCAUCAAAAAUCUAUGCUGCAUAUCCAUAGAUGAUGGUUUCGAGGGCCAUCCAUUACAAAAGACUUUCAUCUUAGAGGAUAUGUGGACAGGCCGGUUCAAUGAGACUUUAAUCCGUUCCUCAUUAUGGGGAGUUGGCAUAGCGGCCAGGGAGGUAAUAAUGGUAAAGACAGAAGUGGUGAGCAUGGUCACUGCAGAGGAAUCGGCAUGCAGCAGCAGGACAAAGGCCAGGGCGGGCCAACGUUUUUAGCCGCUGCUUGCCAGACUAUCUCAUUGAAGCUGACCAUUUUGGUUAAAAUAUCAUUCUUAGUGAAUAAUCAAGUUCUGCUUGUGAAACCUCGUUCCCAGCUUUUUCUUAUUAUUAUUUUAGUAGAUAAGUUCAGUUAAUUGCAUGACAUUAAGCACUUCAUGUUAUCAUGAUAAGAUAACGAAAAAUAUUGUGACCAGUAGUGUUGUGUGCUACCCUUUAUUGUUCAAAUUUUUUCUAAUGUUUCUGGUUGGUUUCCAAAUCAUUUUUCAUUGAUUCUGGACUCUCUCUUCUACGCUGGUUUUCUUUUAGGAAAAAUGCUUUCAAAAUUCCGUUGCCUAACCAAGCUAUUGCAUUUGAUAUAGCAUAAGUUUUCCGGAAAGUAGAUAAAAUUCUAUUGCUUGUGGAAUUGGUGGAUGAUCUUGAAAAUGUUUUCAGAGAUGUUCAGUGUAUUUUGUGUGGGUGAUUAUAUAAAAAAUAAGCCUUUAUAGUAUGUGUGAGACUGUCAACAGUAUCCUACAUCAUUGCUGUGCCAAUUGAAAAUAUCGGAUAUCAUACCUUUUCAAGUUGUUCGGCCUAUGCUGUCUAUUUGGAAACCAGGCUAAGGUAGGUUUGGCAGAUUAACAAUUAAGUAUUUGUUGCUUAACAAUUGAAUUGUCAUGAUACCGAUAAAAUGUAUUCCAUAAGUGGAAAUAGCUCGAAGAUACUGAUUGCAUUCUUGAUUGUUACACUCUAGUGACACUAGUCUACAAUCGUUUUUUAAAUAUCUAGUUUAUUAAUUUCUUUUAACUCUUUUCAGGACAUCAAACAUUCAAAAUGGAAACCUUUAAGCCUGGGGAAAAAAAAUGAUUGGCACUCUCUAAAGAACCUCAGGAUAGGAAAGAGAGAUUUUGAGGAGAAAACUAACCAGUUGCCUCCAGAUAUCUCUAUUCCUGCCAAUUGCUUGCAGCGGAAUCAAGGAGAAAUACCAGAAAUGAAGGUAGAAGAACAUUAUUUCACGUCUAAUGAAUAAAUUGUUGUUAAAUUAUCUUCAAUGCUUUAUAAUAAGACCUUUUCAUUUUUUGAUACGUGGAUGACAUGUCGUUAACAUUUCAUGAAAGUCAUUGGAUCACGUUGUACCCAUCAGAAACUAAUUUCGGUGCAAACAGUGUCAGCUAAAUAAUUCCUUGCUACUGCCGAAAGUAACAUUAGAAAAUAGACUCUGCAUUUCAUAAAUUGGCAAACGGUCCAAUGAAUGAAAAUGCGUGGGGGCCAUUGGUGUACUUAUGCUGAACAAAUAUCACAUCAACUUUUUUAAACAUGAAAUACUACAUCACCAACUUUGGAAAAAGAAUAUGUUGAUGUAUGAAGGGCAUCACUGAAGGAAUAGUUUCUAAUAUAAUUUUUCUUUGGGGUUUCCUUACUGCAUUUAGAUCUCUUUUCUUGGUUGGCCUAAGGUUACCAGGAAUUUGAUUUCUAACCUAGUUACAUUAUAAAAGUGUCUUCCUACGGGAAUGUCAAGCAUAGUUUUAACUUGAGUUUCAGAAGGCUACCAUUUAGUGGAUGAGGCAGAAAUAGAAGCAUGACAGAAACCAUCAGGUUUCUCCGUCAGGUAAAUACUGGAGGCAUCCACGAAUGAUUUGUCUGUGGAUUCCAGUUUCUGAAUAUUUUAUUCAAUAUCUGUGCAAAGCGUAUUGAGUGUUUGAUAAGAAAGUGCAGAUCUUAAAAUAAAUAUACGUUAGAACUCGUGUAUAACUCAGGUCUGUUGAUGGGAGUGACAUAACUUCUAAGAUUCUGAACUUUGGGGUAUUAUCUAUCAACGAUCUGAGUUAGUUUCAAGCAGUGAUUCGUAUCUAUUAUUCCCACUGCUCUUAUCCCAUUGUGUGAAAUUUGUAAAUUUUUUAUGUGCAAUUGCUGAAUGUCAGUUUCAUUGCAAUGAAAAGUUUACUUAUACUAGCUUAAAAGAUUGAUCACUUUCAGGAAACGGGCUCCAGUGGACUGGAUCAUGGUAGAAAUCCUCUGAUAACUACGUCAAUUCCUCCUACUUAUGUCCUUAAAAAUCUGGCAGCAGCCAAUAUGUAAGUAUUUAUUUGACUGAUGCUGUGUAUCGGUCUCUUGCAGUGACUACCCAAACUUUUACUUUAAUUAGAAAUAUACUUUGUUAUCCUUUCUGUCUGGGAUAAGAACUUAUGAAAUAUACUCGUCCGUAUGCAGAAUCAUUCAUGGAUUUAGUUAUUUCUGAGAUUCUCUUUGUGCGAUUAAGUUGAAGCCAAAUUAUUGUGUUUUCUAUGCAUUACGGUUCAAUGCACAUUUACUAUUGACAAGUUAUUUUGAAUUGAUGUAAGGUUUUUUUGCAAUGGACUGAUGUUUAUUUUACUCUUUGGUUAUCCUGCAGUAAAGCAAAGACCUUUAAAUCUGUGAAAGAUUUUCUGACGGUAGAUAGUGAUUCUCCACCAAUGAAAGAGAAAUUGGGCUUGAGUUUUUCUGUGGUCAAAUCAAUUGUGAAUCGUGAGAAGGACAAACUGAACCAUGAAAUAUGUGGCGAAUUGGAAAUUUCGUCUGCUGUUCAGGUCUUAUUUGAUUCAGGUUGUGAAUUAAAUUUGUAUUUUUCUUAUUGAAUUCUUCAGCAUUAAUUAUUCGUUCCUCACUUUCAUUGUAAUAUCUGCAAGAUAAAUUGCAGAGGGACAUCUCCUCAAAGGGAAGGAAGGAUCUAGGUCACAGUCAUUGUUGAUCACAUCUAUCCAUGGUGCUCCGCCAGGAAGCUUUUUGGUCAAAGUUUCUGAAAUCGCUGGAAGCUUCACGUCUUUACACAAGAUGGCUUUGUUUUGGCAUAGUAUUGUCACUGAAGUAUGGAUCACUUUCUCCCAAACUAUUAAUGGAAAAAGAAAAUUGUCUGAGCUUAAAGUUUAUGCUCAUUUAGGUUGAUUUAUCAUUAAGAGUUACUGUUUUCUCAAGCACUUGGCUUUCUCAGGUCAGGAUUUAUGUAUAUCUAUUAUGCUUUCCAUACUCAGAGACGCAUAAUAAAUCCCAUAUAUUAUUUCAUUAAGAAAAAUCUUCAUGCAUAACAUCUCUUCUUUCAUGUUUUGCUGAUUUGUACUGCUAAUUCCCAACUCAGUCUUAGUCCUAUGCAAAUUUGACGUGUUUAAGCUGAAGUUCCUUGUUUUUUAAUUUAAAAGGAAGAAGGUUUUAAUCAUAAUUAUCUCUUUUUGGUGAUAGUAUCUGGAAUUAAAGAAAUAGGAGGUCUAAUUAGUUUUUAGUGCCUGGAAUUAAAGACUUUUGCAGAAAACUUCUUAGUUUCUUGCACCAGAGUGUUGGACAAGGAAUAAAAUAAUUGAAGAGGGUUUUGGUUCUGCAAAUGAAUAGAAUCUGAAUAAUAAGCAUGAAAGCUUUCAAAAGUGGUAUACUAAUUCUGCAGAAGAUCCAAAUUCCUAAUUUAUCCUUUUGGGUAAUGUGGUAUCAAACUCAGAGGAGAAAGAUGAGAAAGAUAUUCAAUGAGAUUAUCUUGAGUCUCUAACAUCAACUAGCACAGAAGAAAAGGCUGGAAUGACGAUUUGGGUUAUCCAUGUGUUGCAAUCUCUACAUAGAAAUUUUUACGUUAGAGUGAUGAUUGAAUCCUGACUUCUUGGUGUUGGAGGCUAUAUCACUUCAUACAUUUAUACACAAAGAUAUGUAAUGAUGUACAUAUAAAUUUUCUAUAUCAGUUUAUGGAUAUGGAACUAAAAUCUUUUGUUACAAAGUUGUCUCAGCAUAGAAGACCAAAUGGUUGCAUCAUAUUCGAUGCUUGAAGAGUUAUUCUUUUGCCAUCUAGGUGGUGACAAACCUUCAUCUUCUCUUUAUUUUCUUCAAAUGAGGCAUUGAUUUUGUGCACAGAUAUGUAAUGAUGCACAUUCAAAUUAUUGUAUUUACAUGUAACGGAUGUGCAACAAAAAGUUUUAGUUACAAAGUUGUCACCGUGUAUGAGAGGCCUAAUAACUGCAUAACAUUCUAUGUUUGGGCAGUUAUUCUUUUGUUGUGUCCAGAUAGUUCGUACCGCUAGAUGAAAAUCCUAGACCAUGUGAGUGCAAGGAAUCUGGAAAUCCAGACAAUUAAGUUUAAAAGCUUCUUACCUAGGUCACUUCAGUGUGCGGGUAACUUUGAUGGCCGGUAAAACAUCUCUUAGCGUUGUUUAUUUGAUGAAACCAAACAUUAACAUACAAAUAUUGAAACCAUAUCCUCUAAUCUAUUCGUAGUCGUUAAAUUCAAUGACUUGAAAACAAUAAUUAACCGCGCAAGAAGAUGCCUAUUUACAUUGAGAAGUUCGUAGCCAAUAAUGUCACAACACGUCAUGAAUUUCUGUACGAUUUUCCUCUUUGAAGAAAUGAUCACUCAGCAUAGGAUUUAAUGGUUUUAUGUCAAUCAUAUUCAUAAACUGUUUGAGGCUAUUUUACAGAUUUGGCGGUUCUUGGUUCAUUUUGUGUUAUCAAAAUUUUGACAAAUGUUACUAUUAAUCUACAGUCAGGUAUAAAUUUGAUGUUAUUUACAAUGUAGAUUCUCCGAAGUCAUCACCUUUUCUGGAAUCUUAUGUUAAACUAGUAUUGCCUGUAUUACAUAAGUCACUGGCCCAAGGCCCUUGUUGGCUUAAAUGACUUCAAGACCCAUGAUGUGAACCGGGCUGAAAAGUCAAGAGAGUGGUUCUUUGGAAGAGAAUGGGAUAUUGGAGACUGGCCAUUCUCCUUGGCCAACCCAUAAGGCAGUGAUUUAUAAGGGUCUUUAAUUUGGUUGAGAGUUGUUGCACUGAUAGUGUGAGGUGAACCCACCUGAUCAGUUACUCUUCUUGUCUGGUCAUCUUGGAUCAUCCAGCUUAGUCACUCCUUGCAGUAAAUAUGCUAGAAUUGUGGAAGCUGAUCAUUUUUGAUGUGAGAGGUUGGGUAUGAUAUCGUGACAUCAACUUUGCCUUUUUGCUAUUGUCUCUCCUUCUGUCAAUGGUGUGAGAAAAGAAAAGUCAGGGAAACAUGGAAGGAAAAAAACGCGCUUCAAUGAUGGUUGUCAUCACCUCAGUUAUAAUUGUUCCUUGCCACAUUCAUAUCAGCUGAUUGUGAUGUUCCCCUUUCCCUUGCCCUUAUUCCAUUCUGGAGUGUUGUUUCCCACUAUUCCAGACUAUUUUAGCCUUGUGAAUGAAAGCAUAUGUAUAAUUAGAUUGCUUUUCAUACUCUACCUCACGAAAAUGUACAAAUGUCUCUCGUUUACAACUUUCAAAAAGAAAACGUUUUAUUUUGGGCUAACCUAGAACCAGUCUAUAUUAGAAAGGGCCAUUGUUGCAUCAUUUUUUGCCACCUGUUUACAAUUUUUUGGAAAAGAACCCCUGAAGGAGAACGUGUGGAUCAUAUUGGGUGUUUCAACUCAACAUUGUGCUGUGCAUUUUUUUUCUGCAUGUAGCUGUGUAAACUUCAGGAACAGUUUUUAUAUUGCGACCAGAAAUUACUUUUUGAUCCUCAAGUGUGCAACAUAGAAUACAAAUCUUGUAUCGGUACCAUGCCACUGAAAUAUGCUACUGGCUUAAUUAUUCACAUGAAUUUUAAUUGGAGACUAUUUAUAUCUGUAGCUGAAGAGACGAUGGUCUGUGGGAAAACCAAUUCCUCACAUGCCGCUGGAUGAAAAUCCUGAUUUAGAUAGCUGUCUUCUGCAUCAGCAAUUACAAGUUAUUAAUUGUUGUAUUUCCCGGAAACUGCGACGAAUUAGUGCAACAGAACAACUGGAUUCUGUAGUAAGCAAAAGUCCAGAUGAUAAUCCAGUUGUUUUUCUCAACAAGCUAUCUGAAAAUCCUACGAUUUAUGCGAAAGAUCGAAAUGGAGCACAUGUUCUCAGGCUUGGUGCUGGUAAUCCAUCCAAGAACCUAACCAUGCUAGAAACGGGUGAACAAAUAUAUUCCCCUCUGACACAGGUGUGAUGUACCUUAAAUCUUUUAUGGUUAGUAUGAUUUUUGCUCUCAAUUUAUGUGAUGGUCGUAUCUGACAAUUAGAAUCAUUCUUGAAAUGAAGGAGGGGCCAGUUUUCACUGAGGAACUCAUUAAAGAAAAUGAGGAGUUUGUGAUGCGGACUGGGAGGUCUGAUUCCUUGAAACGCGUUAUUUUGAUCUAUUAUAAAUGAAUAGUAUAAUAUCAUCUAUCUAAUUAAGUUUUAGCCUGUUAACCUAUUUUCAAUAUCUGAUGUGAUAUAUCUUUUAAUCUGGGAUUCCGUAAUGGAUUAGAACGAAUUUGACAUGGCAAGCAGGAUCCAGUGAAACCUAUAAAUUUAAUGUUUGCAUUUGUAAUUGGUUGUUUUCUUCCCUUUUGAGAAACAAGUGCAUGUGAUAUGAUAGGUCAUAUUCUUUGAUUUCAUAGAACCAAAACAUGGGGAAAUCUUGAUAGAAUCAAGUAAAACACCCUAUAGAUUUUAAAAAGAGGAUGAUGCAGAAGAUAUUGUGUGUUUAUUCAGAUCAUUCUACUUGAAAAUGGCCAUUCCAUAUGAAGAUUGUUGCUAACCUAAGAAGUUUGUUUCCUCGUACAAGUGGAGAAAUGUUAUUCCAUUCAAUCAGGCAUAGCAAUCCUUGAGAGAUUAUGGUUCUUGGUUCCAAUUACCAUGAUUCAGAUAUCUGAUAUUUGCGACUUGUGUAGAAUUCUUUUGUGCAAUGGAACUUAAAUUCAAUGGGCCAGAAUUCACAAAAUGUGCCAAGAUGCUGAGCCCUGCCUUGCAUGAAAGGGAUGUUAACCAAUUAUUUCUACUAGAAAGAUUCGCUCUUACAGUAUUUAUAUUGAUUUUCCUUACCUAAGUUAUACGGUUUCCUGAAGGAUAUCAGAUUCACCUUUAUUUGAUAGGCUGUUUACUGUCGAGUUGUUGCUUGAAUAGGCUUCUUAGUUUUAAAUUCCUGACGAUCAGGCUUUCUCAUGCUUUAAGAGAGCAGAAGCAUACAAUUCACAUUUCAUGAUAUAUCUAUAAGGAUUUGGACGUCUUAUUUAAUCUUAUUUAGGUUUUCACGUAAAUCCUCAUUAUUUAAUAGAUUAAAAACUGCUGUAACUUUUUGUUUUCCUUGCCUUCAUGAAAUAUCUCAUGUGGCAAUGUUAUGCCUUAUAUUUCAGUAUUGGGGCUGGAUGUUCUCAGCUGCUCUCUGACAUGCAAGCGUUUAAGGUUAUAUCCUUUAAACACAUUUUAUAUUAUAGAAGUGCCACUUUGUUUUACAGAUACACAAGUUUCACGCAUUUAAUAUGACCUCACAUACAUCAACAAAUUGUAUGUUAGGCUGCAAAUCCUGGAUGCAUUUUAGAAGACUUUAUAAGAUGGUACUCACCUCCAGAUUGGAAGGAAACCACUGAUUUAUGUGGUAGUCAGGAUGUGUCGUCAAAUGGAGGUUGCUUAAGUGGAAGGAUGCAGAGAGAAGGUAAAUCUUUUUACUGUAUUAAUAUAAUCGUUGGUGAAAAGUUAUACCCAUAUGACUUUUCAAGAUUAGUAUGGAGCUUUCUACGACCUAUCUGCACACAAGCUAGCCCUGGGUCCUUUUAUUCUCAAUAGACACUCUUAAACAAGGAGCACCUUUCCUGAAUCAAGUCAAGAUAAUUAAUGGCGAGGUUGGUUGGAUGUAUCGGCAUAUUUGAGACUGUCAGUAUCUCGACCAAUGGGUUUCUGUUAGGCCUCAAAACUUGGACAGCAUCGGAACUUGAUAGCUCCUACAAAUCUGACGAGCUAUACAUGCAGUACUGGGUCUAACUGCUUGAAUAUCGCGGUCAGAGUUGUUUUAGGCCUUGAAUGUCUCUAGUCUUUGCUUUAGGUUUUUUGGGCACCCAUCACAUAUUUUGGGCCUUUCUCAUGUCUUGAAGUAGUAUACUUUAUUCUCAUGUAUGCACAAGGAUGAAGAUAAAUUAUACAUACUAGUAGUUGGAGAAGAAAGGGAAACAAGCAGUAAUUUAAAAAUUAAUCAAGUGUGAAUGCACAACGCUCAUUUAUCCAUUACCCAACUUAUCAAGCAGACUAGCAGCCCAUGAAAGAAUGCUCCCAAGAAAAAAAAGUGUAACUUUCCUACAAUUUCAAGUUGUCCAAAGGGCAAAAUUUUCUAUCAACUUCUUCUAUUGAGAUUUCUUGCCUAUCAUCCUCCGUAGUGUUCAUCAGGAUUUGUAAUUCUUAUCAACAUUUCCAUAAAACGUCCUUUGAUUCAAUAUAUCGUAUCACAUAUUGUUGUGAAACAGAGCCAAAGGAAGAAUAUUCCAUGUCACGGAGGACAGAGGGGAGGAAUGAUGGAAACCGUCUCACUCACCUCUAACACCCUUUAUACAGGGAGGAAUUCUACAUGACUUUCUCAAAAUAACCUCAGUUUUUUGCAGUAUUUCCUUAAGACUUAGAACUUCCAAAAAAUUAUUUACAGAUAUGUGAUAUAUUCACAAACUUGUGUACAUAACUAGCGGAGCUAUGUCAUUUGCUUUUUCUAUCCGUUCCAUGUGGAUCAUUUGUUGAAGUCAGAUAGAACAACAUAACCAAGACGGCCUUGCCAAUGAAUGCUGUCUGUUGAAGAUAAAGGUGGUGGAACCAUCACAGUCCUAUUCGUCUAUUGUCUGCAGGAUUUUCCUUGUAGGAGGUCAAGGCUGGAGUAAGAAUGGCAAACAGAGUAUCUUGUUUCCGAGUUCUCUGCCUAGGACUUGAAAUAAGCCUCAUGCUAUGACAACUUUUAGUAUUGUAAGCCAAGAAGGAUGCAAGUCACUUGGGAGAGUUGUGGGUUAGGACUCCUACGCUCACAAGUCAAAAUAGUCCGGCUGUUAUUGAUUGAACAUUGUUUUUCUAACUGAUCCAAUGUUUUAGGAGAGUAACAACAGAUUUCAGCUGAUUUAAAAAGGCUAACACGUUGCAACUCUAGGGAGGGUGCCGACAAUACUUUUUUUGUUCUCUUCAUGAGAUUACUUUUGUUUGUAUAUUCAAGCAACCCUUGAGGAUUCAAGGGGCAUUAUUCUGAUCUGUGUACACUCAAGGGUCAUCGGAUGCAAUCCUUGUGGACCCAAGAAUUGAGUAUUUCCUACCUUAAGGAUUCAAGGCACGAAUUUUCAUUCUUCAGCUACUUUUUCUGCGUCAAGCUGUAUCAAAGCUCUAUUUUGUUGUGAACUCAAGGGGUGUCACUUUGGACCCUGUGGAUUUAAAAAUCAUCUAAACUCAAUAAUUUUGAAAUAGGAUUGAGAAUUUCUUGCCAUCUGUAUAUAAGGCGUGAUUUUUCAUUCUUCCUCGACUUCUGUAGCAUCAUGCAGAUGGUUAACUUACAGAUCAUUCACUCUGUCGAAAGAAAUUGCCUCAUGGGAUUUGAAUUGAUUUUUUCUUAUAGCAUAUUAUUUUUAGCCUCCUCUCUGGCAGUGUUUUCUAUUCUGUACGUACUUGUUUCAUCGGUUUUCAUUUCUGAAAUUAGCUUAUUAGAUAGCUUGAUGUUGAACUUCGGCAGGAAAUUUAUGGCGUGAACUGUGGGAAGCAGCUAAACCAUUACCUGCGGCGAAACAAGCACCACUUUUUGAUGAAGAUUUGGCUGUGUGAGUACAUUCUGGGUGUUAUACCAUGAGGCUUAUGAAUUCCAGUUUAGAUUACUGACCGCUGACUUUUUCUUCCAGUGAGAGCAUCUUAACAUCUAUGGCGUCUAUCUCCCCUUCUGAGCUUCUUGAGCAGUUGUUCCUUUCAAUGGCAAGUGAUUCGGUUCUAGGGAAACUUUCUCCAUUUAUGCUCUUUCAGGCAAAUUAAAAAAAUUAAAUCAGAUUUUUCAGAUUCAAUAAUGCCUUUUGUUCGUGAUCUUAUUAAAAUAAAGUUCAUGAUCUUAGGAAAUGCUUACCAUUUUUUUCUUUGACUGAAAAUAAGAGUGCCCCUGUCGCCUCAUUGGUGCUAUGAAAGCUUUGCAUGGACUGGUAGUGUAGGAUGAUACGUCGAGGAGUGGUCAAUUGGAAGCGGUGUGACAUAAUGCCUUUGGUCCUUUGCUUACAGGGGUAGUAAUCUCACCCAAAUGUUGGCACCAAGAAUAAAAAAGGAAAGAAAACCACUUGGGGCACACCAGAGGACUGGAUUCUGCAGAAAUCUUGAAAACGGAGAGAGGAUGCCGCAGAAAACACAAGGUGAAAAUCACUGGAGAGGAUAAACUCCGAAACCCUAGGAGAGGGACAGUGAAUUCCGAAAUGUUACGAGGCUAAUGGGCCCAAGAAGAUCGAAUGGGGCCAGGCAGGAGUAGUGGGGUCUUGUAGGCCAAACAACAAAAAGAGCUAUUCUUCAACUCAUUGCCAUGCGUUUAGUCUAAAGCUUUUAUUGGAGUCUCCUCUUAUGCAUAAGGUUUUCCAAUUGACGUACCACGUAGGAUUGGGUUUUUGAUUUUUUAUCAGCGUCACAUGCACUCCAUUAGCUAUCUUUCAAUUCGCAAGUGCCACAGUACUUACUGCUUGCUGCAUAGGGGAACUCUUACCAAGACUAGGCAUAAUAUUUCUGAAUAUUCCAUCAUUUUCAAUUUAUGAGAAAACAAUAGUUUUUGCUUGCAUCUCAGUUAUUUAACAUUCAUGUCAAUGCUUCCUUUUUCUUAGGUUAUAUAUUCUCGAAGUAAGAGGAGCUUCUUUAUAAUUCUAGAAAUGAAUCCUUCUUCAAACUCACUGAGAUUUAUUAUGCUGUCUCACUGGAAUUUUCCUACCUCUAUCUAUUUUUUUUUAUAAAUUUGCAAUCGAAUGCAUACAGAAUUCAGAUUGAUAACUCAGCAUGUCUAUGCUCAUAAUAGUGUCAAUCUCUUGCGUAAAUGGUCACCCAAUUGGGAAUCGAGAAAUUCCGUUGCUUGUUUGUCGUUUUGUCGUAUGGUUUGAUAAUUUUGAAGCUGAAUAAAAGCUCUCUCUCUCUCUCUCUCUCUACCCUCAUAAACCUACUCUCUCUCUAUCUCGUCUCUCCUUCGCAUUAUUUGUUAUCUCUCUCUCUCUCUCUGUCUAGAUUUACAAAUAAUAAUCCAAUAAAAAUGGCUACCUAUGAUCCAUCUUUUAACAAGGACCAGACAAGCUGGCUCUAACGUCGCCCUCCAUGAUCUCUUCUUUCAGCUUUGCUCCGGCUUCGCUGUUGCUGAAAGCGUCCUGGCAAAGGAUGGCAACAUUCCGAAGCUAUUCUAUGACUGCAAGGACUAUAUAACCACCACAUGUCAGAGCGGCUUGCCAAUUGACAUCCUUGACGACCUCUGCAAGGUAUUUAUUGGCCAGAAGGACCGAAACGGGAAAUUAUUGAAAUCUUGACGCUCGGAGUUAGUAGGGUUUAGAAUCCGCCAUUGAUAAUUAUCCCUUUUUAUCAUUUAAAUGGACAAGUUUCAAUUAAUGAAAUGGGUGUUUCAGGUGUACGAAACGGUAGAGACGAUCCUCACUCAUCCAGAGGCCAGAUGGGUCUCCGGAGAGAGAGCCUCGGAAGAGCCGAGAAGCCGGCUCAAGAAACUUCAGCUGCCGUUUAUGGGGAAAGACCAGAACAAGGUGACGCUGCCAAGGCCCGCCACCAAGGACCAGAAGAAGCCUGCCGACAGGAAUGCCGGUAUGCUCUCCAACCUGUUUGACGGGAAGGCCUCUUUAUUUGCAAAGAAGCAGCCCCCACCGAGCGCCGCCCCUCCCACGGCCCCAUCGCACCUCGGCGGGGGCGACUUGGCUGGCGUCUGAAGCAAUCUCCCCACAUUGGGGCUCUCUUUUGUCUCGGCUUCUGAUUGAUUGCGGUCUGGUCUGUAAGUAACCAUUUUUNNNNNNNNNNNNNNNNNNNNNNNNNNNNNNNNNNNNNNNNNNNNNNNNNNNNNNNNNNNNNNNNNNNNNNNNNNNNNNNNNNNNNNNNNNNNNNNNNNNNNNNNNNNNNNNNNNNNNNNNNNNNNNNNNNNNNNNNNNNNNNNNNNNNNNNNNNNNNNNNNNNNNNNNNNNNNNNNNNNNNNNNNNNNNNNNNNNNNNNNNNNNNNNNNNNNNNNNNNNNNNNNNNNNNNNNNNNNNNNNNNNNNNNNNNNNNNNNNNNNNNNNNNNNNNNNNNNNNNNNNNNNNNNNNNNNNNNNNNNNNNNNNNNNNNNNNNNNNNNNNNNNNNNNNNNNNNNNNNNNNNNNNNNNNNNNNNNNNNNNNNNNNNNNNNNNNNNNNNNNNNNNNCCCCCCCCCCCCCCCCCAUUUAUUCAUUCAAAUAAGAGAACCCGCCGUCUAGAGACAGCACGGUUUUGUAUGUAAACGAAGAACCAGAAAGCUUUCACGGCCUGUAAAGCAGCUUUUGCAUUUCAUGUUCAAAACAGGGGCGGGGAUGGCGAUUCCUGAGAGUCAACGCAGCGAAAGAAGCCUCAGACCCCUCUCUCCUCUGUGAACCCAGCGCCGCCUUGUAGCAAGUGAAGAAGGUACCUACCUGCUUUUCUAUUCUAGAUGCAUAAAAAGGUCACCGAUGUUGUGUAGCUCUGGAGCAUCCGAUGAGUCUCUUCCCGGCAGGGUAUGUCUGAGGCCCUGAUAUGCCCCCGGCCGGUUAAGGUUUAGAUUGACAGAAGAAGAAAAAAAAAAAAAAAAGAAAGGUGGAGGGUCAUUCCUCUGAUAGUCCAUUCAGAGUUCUUUUCAAGAGAGAAGAUGUUAAGCAAAAGAAGGAAUGAUAGGGAGAUAGAGACAGCGCUCAUCAUACAAUUUAAAUGUAAUAAUGUGGGGCAGCAUUCAAAGACUCGAGACGAACUCAAAACUAGUGGCGCAGGUAGGUUGGAAAGAUAAAUAGUUUUUGCUGUGUAGGUGAGAGAAGCCCCCAAAUGAGAUUAAGCCCAAAUAAAUUGCCUGAGCUACAUGCCAGAUUCUGAGUGUUAUUAACCUUAUUAUUACUAAUUUACUUUUUAGACUGUUUUCUUUGACUGGUCUGAUUUUCUAAGCUUAAUAUAGGGCUUGAAUUUGCUAAUGGUAUAUCUGAACCUAUAUGUAAAAUUAGGCAAUAAUAGUUGGUAGGAAAGGACUCAUUAGAAGUAGUGUGAGUUCUUUUCGAGUCCCUUUAUGAUUGAUUGUAAAUAAAGAUGGUAAUUGGAAAAUACGAUAAUUGAGCCAUAAAUAAGACCACUAUGGAAUAAAGAGUUUAAUUUCACAAUCAGACGACAUUUUUGACAUGUUAUGAAGGCCAUAGAUAGAUUUCGAUUCGCUAAAGGAGGACGUUGGGUUUUGUUCUGCAUUUUCUUCUUAUCACUUGGCCCAACCUGGGGCGGCUUGGUUAAAUCAUUAAUAUUUUCAAAAACUCUAUUGAGAUACAUUAUAUAUUAUUGCACAUACUAUGUAGCAUCGUUAAAUUAUUUUUUUAUUUCUUUCCCGUCAACAGAAUGAAGAAAGCUAGUUAAUAUUACUGACGAGGUUCUAUAAAGAAAAAGCCCUCACCUUAUAGAUAUUGAAGGACUAGAAAUCUCUCUCUUUCGUAUAACAUUAGGAAACCAUGAAGUGUGCAAGAGAUGACCUCACUCAGCUUACUCCAAGAUUUGUUAAUGAGACAAUUUUCAUCGAAUAUAAAGCCUAGCACUUGGUGAGCAGGCAAAGCAAGAAUAUAACCGCAAAAUCGGGGACAUUUUUGUUCAUGCACACCGUUAAAUUACACGGAAAUUGUGAGCUUUUCCAUUUAAAACCAGUCAGUUGGGCUCAAUUUUGCGUCACCUAUGGCGGUCCUCUCCGAUAUCUUCACUCGCCCUCGGCGCAGGCUUGUUCGGGAUGGGUACAUAUAGAACCCUGGUGAACUUGAUACAUUCCACCAAGCACCAAGCUGUACGAUCCCCUCCACUUUGGCCAGAGGCGGGACGUAUCACGUCUUCUCUUUACAGAAGAAAUAUGGGUCCCAGAGAGCCUCGCCGGUGACGGCGAUGUUCCCCCAACCUGUGUUGGAAGAAGCCAUCCGUUGGAUGGCUGCCGACGGGGAAGAGAAUACAAACAGAUACGUCUUGUCAUUUGAUCUCCAUGCCCCUUUAAAGAUGCCUUCCCGGGUUGCCACUGUGGAUAUUGCCAUGCUGGCACGGGGACCUCUACGUCCCAGAGACGGAUAAAGCCCAGGGCUUCAUUCUACGUCCAUCCUGAGCACAGAUGAAGCCCAGGACUUCAUUCUGCCCCUGAGAGAAGGUAUCAUGGGACCGUGGAAGUUAUGAAGAUUUCCCCAAGUACUUCCAAGAAACCGUCUCUGUGACUGGGGCUACUCACGGCGGGUUGUGUAACCACAAUUCGAAUUUGGUACGUCGAAGACGGCGACAUUUUCUUCUUUUAUGUGACGAUCCAUGCGUGAGAGUCACGGCUUUCCACUAAUGACACCAGCCUGCUUAGUGUUACAGCCCCAGCGCCCGUCCUCAUCUCCUCAGGCAUCCUCCGCCCGUGCGCCAGCAUCAGCUCGCGGCGCCACCCAUGACCACCCCCCGGACCCUCAGCGUCUUCUCUCUUUGCUCACUUUCGACCUACACCCUUCGUAUCGUUCCCAGACCUGAGCAGAUGGUUUUUUCCCGCUGAGCAUGCUCCUCCGGCCAGCUCCAAGUUCCCGAGACCUUCAGUUGAUAGAAAACAUCCCCCGGAAUUUACACUCCUGAAGAAUCCGUCGCCCAGAUAUCCAUCACGGCAUGCCCCAGCACCCUUUCCAGGCAGCUAGGGGGGGGUUCAGUCUGUAGAUUUGUUUAUAAAUUCACCCUAAAAAACUAGUACAGGGGGAGUUGGGCAGAUUCCCGACUCAGAUUGAUUUCUCGAUUUAUUUUCCUUUACUGUCGUCCUCACAAUUCUGUUCCAUUGCAGUAUGCCGAUUACUCUUCAAAUUUGAUUUAUACGUUCAUUUAUUCAUUAUGUUAGAUAAUUUACUAGCAUAAAAGUGUCUCGACAAUUUUAAGAAAUGAUAGUAGUCAGGAACUCUACAAGUCCAGACCAGCAGUACAAUAUAUUACCCUGAUAGAGCCAGUCUGAAAUAAAGCAGUACAGAGUUUAUUUGACACCGCCCUUAUGGCCUACCUCUCGCUCGUCACCAGCCGCUCACGCCACUUUCCAUCCGACAGCUACGACUCUGACAUGUGUUUCCUCUUGCUUCUUCCCCUCCUGUGGGCGCCUACCUCCGCCUGCCUAAGUCAGCGGGUUUGGGAGAUGGUGGGGAGUGUGUGGGGGGGGGAGGGGGGAGUGUUGUCGCCGGGCGUCGGGGUGGAGGAGACGGGAUAAUAAUCAUAACCGUUGAACGUUUUUUUAGUCGGAAAAUACCAAUAGAAGAUAAUCUAAUGAUUGAACGAUUUUCUAGGUCCUGAAGUAAAUCCAUCCUAAAAUAACUUCCGAUUAAACUUCAUGAUGCACAGUCACCGAACCCACUUAACAGGCAUCGCUUUAUGCUCGUAGUGACCGUAUUUAUCGGCAUCUCCUUUAAAUGCUUUUCCGUUUGAAGCUACAUUUUCCGCUCUUAAUCUAAGUAUCACACGCGCUAAAAAUCAAGGCAUAACACGUUCUGGAUUUAGAGAUGAGAAAGCCUAAAUAUAUCAUUCUAAAAGGACCUCUGAAUUUUGUAGUAGAACAAAAAAGCUAAUUAAAAUCACAAUUCCAGAAUUCAUUAAUGAGAAAACAAUUGACAUUUGAGAACAAGUACCCUCUAUUUCAAGCUAUCAGUGGGCACUAUAAGAUAAUCGAUUAAGAGCUUUAUUACUUGAUAAUCAAAUUUUAUUUAUCUGCACUACGUUUAGUCAUGCACUAGCUAAUUAUUCGAUCAGGAAUUUUUUAAUUUAUCAUUUUUAUCAACAUUUAAAAUAUGAAUUGAUUUCAGUAUUGUAUAAAAUUAGAAACCUUAGUUGUCAUGAAGUUUGUUCAGAUAACGACCUGGACCAGCUUGUGAUGAAUAUUGAUAACACCAGGCCUAGAAGGCCCUGCUGCUUUCUCAAAAAAUUACAAUGGGAAUCAUUAGAAGACUUUAGAAAAGUGUAAAGUAAACUCGAACAGCUACAUACAAAAUUAUCAAUUUUCCAUAGGUCUCAUGCUCUCAUCAUCAUUUGAACAUUAUAAAACAUUUUAAAAAAUAUAAUUCUAAUGCGAUUUGAAGGCCUUAAAGAAAUAUAUCACAUCACUCGAAGAGUUUAUUUAGAUGCGUGUACCAGUAUUAAGCUAAAAUCGGGCAAGAUGUUUAUGGGAAGUAAUGAGGACGGAUUAUGUUCGGGGCUCCCGGCUUUCUUCUCGUAACACGGUACCGUAAUAACCGUCAUAACCCUGACCUUAAUGUCUAAGCCGCUUCUCCUUCCUUACGUUGGCAAUACCCAGGAGCCCUCUCGCAACGGAGAUGAAAAAGAGGAAAGAGGCUUUCUUCUCUACUUGCGUACAGAGAAGUGGGGAGCUCAUAAAUGAACUCCGUGCUUUCCUUACGCUUUGGUAUCUAGGGUGACGACGAUGUGCCUCAGUGGGGUCUCCAGUUUUAAGGAGUGCAUCCCUCUCUCUGUAAACCGCCGAUUCGAACGCUUACGAAGAGAGAAAGGCGAGCACAUAGAUAAAAUAACAAAUUUUCCCAACAUGGACACGUGGAGAUAAAAGAGUUCAGGAAAGAGAGCGUCUGAGAGAAGAAAACGACAUGUUGACGUACAGCGGGGGAGGGAGACUGAAACACGCGUAGAAAAACAGUAGGGUGGAGAGAUUGUCUCUCUGUUUGUGUGAGAGAGAGGGAGAGGUAGACGUACAGAUUGGUUGACAGCUGGGCUGAGAGAAUGGAGAAGGAGAUGGAAGGAGGCGAGCCGAAGGGGGACAGACAGUUCUAGAGUUGAAUCCCUUUGCCAGAUAGACUUGGCACCUUUUGUUUUGGUUGGGCUCUAAUCACAGACUAACUUCCAACUAUUGAUGUGCAUACCUUCUGGUCAGAUAAGGGUUCGAGAGGACCCCAUGCACACAUACAUCCACCUAACCUUGUACCAUAAUAACUCCGUUGACGAAUCGUCACCUAUCCACAGUGCUUUUUCUCUUCCAUAACGUUUUCUCAUCUUGGAAUAUUUCUAUGGAAGGUGGUUCCUUUGACUCAUGUCUCCGAGUGUUUCCUUUCUAGAUUUUCUAAGAAAGCAACAUUAAGAGGCUUCAAAAAGUACGCAAUAUCCUGUUGUAGCACAGUUUCGGAUUUAAUUUAUUCCCUCCGAAAAUGGGCCAUCCUAUUUGUGUGCUCGUUCUCGAAUACCAGGGACAACGUUCACCCCUCUGCUCGGCUGGAUGGAUCCGUGCACUCCGCUACUGCUCCCCAUCCGUCAAGCCGUGUUCUUCCCGUCGUCCUGCGGACCCACGGCCGCCGCCAAAUCCCCUCCCUCCACAUGCUCGUGUCAGUGUAACAGCUCCGCGCGAAAAAGGUGGGGUCCUCCGUGCUGCAGCGGCGGCGGAUCCCAACGCUGCUGCCGGCCGCCAACCUCAAGAUGAGCUUCCCCAUCUACCUCCCAUUCAUUCGCCCACUGCUUCAGUCCCUCGCGAUGGUUGGCUGCGGCGUCUAGACACAGGCGGAAUCUUCUGCAUACGAUAGGCACUAGCCCUACCGACAAUUAGCCUCAGCCGACAAAUGGAUCUACCACUCUUUUUCCUUCUGUACUUAUUGAUGAAAGAAAAUUAGAAUACCAUGUCGAUUUGACUCAUGUUGGAAGGUUUCCGUAUCUGAAAUAUUUCUUAUAGAUAUCGUGGGCACAUGUUCGUAGUAUAAACGUUUCCAGGUCAAUUCAUAUUUCGUAUAGACAUCCUAGUUGGUUAUUAAGAUUAAUUUCAAUUUUUGAUUGCAUGGAGACUAAUAAAAAAUCUAUAAACCUGGACUUUGAUUAUAUCGCAAUUGUAGAUCUCAAACGCGCCUUAUCUCGUAUAGGUAGAGACGCACGUCACAUGGGUACAAAUAUAAGAACCGUAUCCAUCAAAUCUUCUGCAGUAAUUAUUAAUAGAUUGCGAUUAAGGUGCCAACUUUCUUCUUCUGUUUAUGUGUGAGGACCGGUCGAGAAAGGUAGAAAAACGGGUUGAGCUAAAAACUAAUUAAAAUAUGUUUCCAGGAGACAAACCGAAGGUAACAAAUUUUAUACUUUUACGUUUUAGAUAAAUUUGAUGGUUUAUGGCCCAGAUUUUCAUUUCUCAAAAGGAACAUCGAAACUAGGCUCGACAAGCCACAAAAUAAUGAUUUUCCCUCGCCGCCUGACGGGUAGAAGGCGCAGUCAUGAGGGAGAAGAGUAUUAAAUUUGGCCGUUAUUAAUUUCAUAACGUUUGAUAGUUAGGCGAUAACUGCCGCACGAAUAAUUUUAAAAUGAGUUAAUCGACCAGGUUAUCUAAAUUAUUAUAAAUAUUUUAAAUAACUCAAUUAAUACCAAAACUAUUUUAAUGAAUACUUUCUUGUUUACGAGCUAAUAUAUGAAAACUUCCUUUGAAGCCUGCUUUCACGUAGUUUCUUCAUACAAUGGCUUGUAUUACCCCUUGGCUGUUAGCAACCAGAGAACCGUAGGGUACUCAUUCGAAGUUCUAGCUUCUGUUAAAAGAAAAAUAAAAAUUUAUAGCUUUUAUGGUUUCACAGACCAUUAUGAAAUAUUGACUUAUCAUUGAUACAAAGAGGACAAUAUACUUCGGUUACAAUUUCAAGCUGCUCACAUCUCGUUGACCUUGCAAACGCACAUCAUAUGGGUAGAAACAUUAUGGUAAACAUGUUGGAACUUUAGGUGAAAUGGUGGAGGGACGCUAAUUAAGGCGACCCACCACUUACUGUCUUCUUGUGGCCUCCAAUCCCACCACCGCCUCCAAAUCCACCGCCGCCUCCAAACCCACCACCAUUGCCAAAGCCACCGCCAGCUCCGCCACCGUAUCCGCCGCCAAACCCGCCACCUCCUCCAAGGCCGCCACCUGCACCACCACCAUAACCACCACCGGCACCAGCGCCAAUGCCGCCACCUACGCCGCCCCCAUAGCCACCACCAGCACCACCUCCAUGCCCACCACCUACGCCGCCUCCAUAGCCACCACCAGCCCCACCUCCAUGCCCACCACCUACGCCGCCUCCAUAGCCACCACCAGCACCACCUCCAUCGUCCGCCACCGGCACCACCUCCAUANNN